AACUUAAAACCUCUAAUUUAUAAGUAAAAAAAAAUGUCACUAGAUCAUAGUACUAUAUGACAUAUUUGGAGUUUAGAUAAAAAUACUUAAUUUUUUUCUUCAUAAUGAAUAUAUAACAAAUAAAAAGUUUCGGGCCCUUGGUGUUGGAGCCCUAGGAAAUGACACCUAGCGCCUUUUUAUGCGUUGCUAUACGUUUUCUAAUUUACAACUAACUUUUUAUAGACUUACGUGUAAUAUUGUUAUCUUGUCAGACGUAUUAUGUUGCUAAUUAUAACAUCAAUUAUGUCAUAUUGGUUUAAAGUUUGAUAACAAAAUUUGUUUUGCAAAAUUUAUUUUGCAAAAUAGUUACUAUAUGUCAUGUCAUGCUGUUUAAUAAAACGUUGCUAUACGUUUUCUAAUUUACAACUAACUUUUUAUACACUUACGUGUAAUAUUGUUAUUUUGUCAGACGUAUUAUGUUGCUAAUUAUAACAUCAAUUAAUUAUGUCGUAUUGGUUUAAAGUUUGAUAACAAAAUUUGUUUUGCAAAAUAGUUACCAUAUCAUGUCAUGCUGUUUAAUAAACGUUUUCUAUAUUUUACACACACACACACACACCACUAUUUACAUCUAGGGAAUAAGAAAAUAAAUUUGUAUUGAACUCGACUCGUCAUUUAUGAGAUUUGAACAUAAAUCUUUUCACUUAUUAAUAAAAAAGAAUGCUAUUAAGCCUUAAUUCUAAGUGACUUUUCUUGCCGAUGUUCGAAAAAUGUAUCCAAUUUAUAAAUGGCCGUGGAUCGCUAGUGGUUGAGUGGUGGUUAUGGUUGGAAGAUUUUUUAGUCAUUUUUCAUGGUGGCCAUAGAGUUUGUAAGUGUCAUAACCCCACCCUUUGAAACCCCACAUAUAUAAGCACAUAUUUUUCUGUCGGACGCUGUCUCAUUUCAUAAGACAUCCAUGACAUGUCAUGUUGAAAUUAUGGACCAUUCUAGCUAAUAUAUAUAUACUGACGUACAUCAUACAGUUUUUCUACUUAACGCCAACCCAAUUUAGGGUUUAGUUUUAGGUUACAAUAAGCAAUCACCAUGAUCUUCUUACCUAGGCUUGAUUAGGUUACGCUUGAUCAGAUAAAAUUGUGUUUGCCUGUGUAUAUACUUCGUAUAUUUUAAUAUGAGAGUGUGCUCAUGGAAAUAUAUGAAUUGGUAUUGUUGGUUUCAGAUUCGCGGAAUCCACAACAUGCCUCAACAGAAACAGAACCUGGAGUUGUUACUUCAGAAUGCACUCCAGAUGCCUAAAAGGACUCGUUGAUAAAUACAUGAUCUGAUGAAAAACAUUCAAUUGUAUAAACUUUAUGAUUAAAAUUUAUUAUGUUCCUUAUCACUCGAUCCUUACGUUCUGCUGUCAGUCAUUCGUAAGAUUCUUUUUGGGUUGAAAUCUGUAACAUUAGGUGACUACUGCUUCAAGAUUUCUUGUGCUCAGCACAGAUAUUACAAGAAAGAGAUGAUCAACUAAUCAUUCACAUUUUACUCUCAACUAUUUUCAUUUACUUUGUUCAUUUCAAGUGUACUGUUUCUGUUCAUUUCAAGUGUACUGUUUCUCUAAUAUAUAUAUGAGGCAGCUCGGCAACCACAAGUUAGUGAUUCUCCACUCUUCUUGUUGGUCAUUCUCUACUCCUCUUGUGUAAAAAGAUAAAAUAAAAUUUAAUGAGAAGAGUACUAAAGCUCACUGGAGGAUGUCAAUAACAACUCCCAAAAAGUAAAUAACAAUAUACAAAAUGCAUAACAAUAAGCAAGACCUCGAAUAAAUAUAGUGAUGACAACAAACAAAGAAAGACCUACUAUUAGCCUACAAAGGAAAAUCAGGUUGGAACUAGUUAGAACUCUCAAGUUUAGUGUCUCCCAAAUUAUUUACUAGUUAGAACUCUCUCAAGUUCAAUGAGAUCAAAAUCAAAUAACCCUCAUGUUGGAAAAAAGUUAUGAAAAAUUGCUAUAUAUUUUAUUAUAAAUUAUUAAAUAAUACACAAUAAAAUCAAAUGCAAGAAGAACCAGGAAUAGAAGAACCUUAAGAGAUCGAGGCUAGAAUUUGAUUCUAUAGCCUUAAGACAAGAUUGCCCCUCAGUGGUGCCUUAAGGUUUGUGUUGGCAAAUGUCUCCCAAGAUACAACGAUCUUUCUCUUUGCGGAAGUAGCACUUCAAUCCACAAAGAACAGCGAACCAAAAGUUUUUAAAACUCUCCCUUUGUUGAACACUAAACUACUCUAAUUUCUAUAUGAUUUCUGAAUGCAAAGUAUAUAAAAUGUUUUGACUUGGUGGUCUAUUUAUAGGCUUUGACAUGCCUUCUUCCAAAGAAGGCGUCUGUUUUCAAAAGGACAAAGGAUGCAUCCCUUUGUUCAAAUAGUGAUAGCCCAACUAUAUGAAAUGGCUGGGGAAAACCAUUCGUGUAUUCAAGUGGUUCAAACCAAAAGGGACUGAAUGAUACAUCACAUGUAUCAGACUUUUAGUCUAACUGGUGUGUCAUUUCAGAUACUGUUAUACUCUUAUUUUAAAUUCAAACAAGAGUAGUCGGUCUAAUCCAUCCCAUAGCAACUUUCAUGACAACACAAAAUCAAAUUGAACAGUUGCCUAGGCUACCCUACGUAGCAAUUAAGACUUGCUCAGUUUUAACACUUUAAUUUUCAUACAUUUAAAAUAUUUAAUAUUUAAAUAUUAAUAAUAACUAAUAUUCUAAUAUUAAAUUUUUUUUAACAAUCCCCACAUGAAUGAAAAUUAAUAAAAUUUAAUGCAAAUGCAGAUGCAGACACUUAGAGAGAGUUUAAUUGGACAAAUACCAUAUGGGGAGAGGUAGCUUUUGGCUUUGAACCUUCCUUAGUGAAAUAUUAUUGGAUUUACUAGCUAAUCAGUGAAUGCGAUGUCUUGAACUGCUCAGCCGUUGAUAUAAACCAAGACAAUAAUAUUCACAUGGUAUUCCUCCGAACACAUAUCGUUCUACGGUUGUGUUCAUUUUGGCCCUGAACAAUUCCCGGUAAUCCUAAGUGCUUUAGAGAAUUCAGCCUUAUAAUUCUCAUAGAAACGGUCACUUUUCACACUCAUGUAGGUGAUAUCCCAUUAAGAGUAUCCUGCACAAUACCCCACUUGUUAUUUCCAAGUAUAGGAAUCAUUAAAAGCAAAACUUAUCCUAAACACGCUGCAGAUAACACUGUUUCAUCAUAAGACAUGGGUAGGAGAUUAUCUCUGCAGUGCUUCCACUGAAUCAUCCACAAUUCGGUUGCCCCUUUGAACCUAGAUCUUGGGAUCUCCAGUCAGCUAGGUUGGGUUGCCAUUAUGGCGAUUCUUAGGAUAUAGGCUUUAAACCCAUUCCCCUCGAUGAUUUAUAAACUUGCUCUCUAGUCAAACCUUUAGUAAACGGAUCCGCUAUAUUUUCUUUUGACCUUAUGUUAUCAAUGGUAAUUAUACCACUUGAGAGAAGUUGCCUAACGGUAUUAUGUCUACUACGUAUGUGUCGAGACUUACCGUUGUACAUAUGAUUUUAUGCCCUUCCAAUCGCUGAUUGGCUAUCACAAUGUAUACAUAUGGCGGGCACCGGCUUCAGCCAAUUGGGAAUAUCCUUUAAGAAAUUACGAAGCCAUUCAGUUUCUUCCCCUACUUUGUCUAAAACAAUGAACUCAGAUUCCAUAGUGGAGCUAGCUAUACACGUUUGUUUAGAGGAUUUCCAUGAGAUGGCUCUGCCACCUAGAGUAAACACAUAUCCACUCGUGGACUUCGAGUCUUGUGUAUCAGAUAUCCAGUUAGCAUCACAAUAGCCUUCAAGUACUGCUGGAUAUCUUGUGAAGUGCAAUCCAUAGUUCUGUGUAAAUUUCAAAUAACCAAGAACCCUUGCAAUUACCUUCCAAUGAUCCUUUUCAGGAUUACUCGUAUAUCUACUCAAUCUGUUAACUGAAUAUGCAAUGUCUGGACAUGUACAGUUUGUAAUGUACAUCAGACUACCAAUUAUUUGUGCAUAUUUACUUUGAGAUAUACAUUGACCAACAUUCUUUGAUAAAUGCAAAUUGACAUCAUAUGGUGUUUUUGUAGGACUACUUACAUAAUUACUAAAUUUUGUAAGUAUUUUCUCAAUAUAAUGUGAUUGAGAUAAAAUUAGUCCUUCAGGCGUUCUAGAAAUCUUGAUUUCUAGUAUAACAUAUGCAACUCCCAUAUCUUUCAUAUCAAACUUACUAGCCAACAUUCUUUUGGUAGAUUUAAUAAUCUCAUAAUUACUACCAAUAAUUAGCAUAUCAUCGACAUAUAGACACACAAUGACAUAUCCCUCUUGUGUGCUUUUAGUGUAAACACAUUUGUCACACUCAUUUAUUUUAAAUCCAUUUGACAAAAUUGCAGUGUCAAACUUAUGGUGCCAUUGCUUAGGUGCUUGUUUUAAACCAUAAAGUGAUUUAACAAGUCUACAUACCUUUCUCUCUUAGCCAUGCACUAUGAAACCUUUAGGUCGUUCCAUAUAAAUUUCCUUGUCCAAGUCACCAUUUAGAAAAGCAGUCUUGACAUCCAUUUGAUGAAUCUCAAGAUUAUGAAUUGUUGCAAUAGCAAUCAACAUACGGAUGGAUGUUAUCCUUGUGACUGGCGAAUAUGUAUCAAAAUAGUCUAAGCCUUCUCUUUGCUUAUAACCUUUGGCGACAAGUCUUGCCUUGUACUUGUCAAUAGAUCCAUCUGCUUUCAUCUUCCUUUUGAAAAUCCAUUUAUAACCUAAAGGUUUAUUUCCAGGAGGAAGAUCCACCAAUUCCCAUGUAUGAUUUUGCAUGAUGGAUUCAAUUUCAGCAUUAAUAGCCUCUUUCCAAAAUGGAGUUUCUGGAGAGGUUAUAGCUUCCUUAUACAUUUGAGGCUCAUUUUCUAAUAAGUAAGUAAGAAAAUCAGGUCCAAAAUACGUUGAUAUCUUAGCCUUCUUACUACGUCUUGGUUCAAUAUCUUGUACAUGUUCUCGGUCUAUAGAAUUAUCAUUACUUUCUUUAUGACUGCUAUUAAAGUCAUCAUAAAUUCUUUUCAAAGAACUUUGUUCUUGUGCAAUUUUCCAUGGAAAUACGUUUUCAAAGAAUGUAGCAUUCCUUGAUUCAAAUAUUGUAUUAACAUGUACUUCGGGAUUAUCCGAUUUAUGUACAAGAAAUAGAUAUGCACCACUAUUUAUGGCAUAACCAAUGAAAACAAAAUCAAUGGUUUUAGGUCCUACUUUAAUCUUUCCAUGGAAGCAUAAGAUGUUGAAGAUGAGUACUCGAGAGCAAUGCUAGGUAAGUAAUCAGGCAAGGGGUUCUAGGUAGUUAGUUCCUGACUGGAAGUUUGAUUCCAAGUGCUGACUGAUUGCUCUCUUUCUCCUUGUCUUGCAGGUAAGAACAAGGCCAAAGGAAAAGAUAGGGAAAAAGCAUGAUAUGAGAUACUCUUGUUUUAACCCUGAUGAUAUUAGAUACUCCUGCUCUGGUGUGGCUUGUUUGCAGAGGUAUUAUAGGGAGGAAAAUAAGUUGAGUAUUUCGAGAGACUCUGCUGAGAGUGCCCUCUCGGAUGUGAAGAAAAGUUGAGCAUUUUUUUUAUAUUUACAGGUCUGCCUGGCUGUGGAGGAUGAAGGUCAACAUAUAUAGGAGUCUCCCUAAUAACAAGUAGUAGUGCUAUUCCUUUACCCUUCUUGGUCAUAGCAAUGUAGUGGGAGUUGCAAACUUCACAUGUUUUAACUUUGUCAGAGCACUUUGAAAAAAUGGUCUGUGGUAUCUAGAAAGCUGAUGUUGCGUGUGAAGAUUGCAGACAAGCUUUAUCCAAGGAAAUCUGGCUCUCGAAGUUCAGAGAGUGAUGCCUCUUCUAUUUUCGAACAAGCAAUCCUGUUAGGGAUCUGGCUCUCGAGAUUCAGAGAACGGUGCCUCUUUGAUUUUUGAGAAAGCAAUCCUGUUGAGAGUCUGACUCUUGAGAUUCAAAGAGCAGUGUCUCUUCGAUUUUUGAGAAAGUAAUCCUGUUGGGAGUCUGGCUUUCGAGAUACGGAGAGCGGUGCCUCUUUGAUUUUUGAGCACGUAAUCCUGUUGGAAGUCUGGCUUUCGAGAUUCGAAGAGCGGUGCCUUUUUGAUUUUUGAGAAAGCAAUCCUAUUGGGAGUCUGACUUUUGAGAUUCGGAAAACAGUGUCUCUUAGAUUUUUGAGAAAGUAAUCCUGUUGGGAGUUUGGCUCUCGAGAUUCGAAGAGCGGUGCCUCUUUGAUUUUUGAGCAAGCAAUCUUGUUGGGAGUGUUUUCUCGAAUUGUGAGUAAAGGUUGGGCAUUUUUGCCAUUCUGCCUUGCCACAGAGCAUGGAGGUUGACACACAUUGGGACUUUCUAGUUAUCAAGCAGUGAUGCUGUUCCUUUACCUUUGUGGGUAAUAGUAGGGUAGCUGGACCUUCAAAAUUUAUGUGUUUAAACUUUGUCAGAGAUCUUUGGAAAAGUUAUCCGUGGUAUUCGAGGAGCUGAUGUUGCGUGUGAAAAGUGGUGCCUCUUCGGAAUCUAGAGAGUGGUGCCUCUUCGAUUUUUGAACCAACGGCCCUGUUGCCCUUUCUUUUAUAAGGGAGCCAAUUGUGUGCAAGAAGUACAUUCAGAGAGUUGUUGCUUGUAGGAAUUUUUCCCUUACUUUAGAGAUUUAUUGCACCUCAUUUAUUCUUCAUCAUUUCUGAGAAUGUCUGGUCCAUCUGACCGUCGUUUUGACUUGAACUUUGGUGAAGAGGCAGCCAUGCCUUCUCAAGACAACAUAUGGCGCCUAUCCUUUUUAUCCCCUACUGGUCCUCUUACUGUUGGGGACUAUGUGAUAAAGAAUGAUAUGACCGCUGCGGUGGUGGCCAAGAACCUUCUUACUCCUAAAGAUAACAGACUACUUUUCAAACAGUCUGAUGAGUUGGCUGUUAAGGAUUCUCUGGCUCUUGUGUUCAGUGUGCAGGUUCUGUGUCUAAUAUGGCCCAAUGCCUAUUUGCUCGAACCCGCUAAGUUGAAUCAUUGGCGGUUGAAGUGAUAAGUCUCAAACAAGAGAUCAGAUGGCUCAAGUAUGAGAAUAAACAAUUGCACAGGCUUGUACAUGACUAUGCUACAAAUAUGAAGAGGAAGCUCGACUAGCUGCAGGAAUCUGAUGGUCAGAUUUUACUUGAUCAUCAGAGGUUUGUAAGUUUGUUCUAAAGGCAUUUAUUGCCUUCGUCUUCUAGGGCUGUACAGCGUAAUGAAGCUCCAAAUGAUCAACCUUCGGUGCCUCAUUCUUCUGGGGUUUUGCCUAGUAUUGAGACUCCGAAUAAUCACCCUCUGGUGCCUCCUCUUUCUGGGGCUCUACCGACUGCUGAGACUUCUCCUGCCUUUGUGAAUGCCCCCUCUUGUUUGUUUAUUUUGAUUCAUGUAUGUGUGCAUAUUUGUAACUUAUCGGAGAUAUUAAUAAACAAGCUUUGCUUCAUUUCAACGUAUUGUGUUAAAUACACCAAGGCCUUCUUUACUAAGUUCUUUGAAUUUUUCCUUUUGUUGAAUCUUGUAUGUUGAAGCUUUGUGAGUGAAGCAUGUAGGUUGAGAUAGUGCUCCCUUAAUUUCCCAAGUGAGGAAAACUUCUCGGUUGGAGACUUGAAAAAAUCCAAAUCACUGAGUGGUCAUGAGACUUCUGAGUAUCAAGGUGCAGUAGCAUAUGGUAGGAGUCCCCCAAAUCUCCAGUCGAGGGAGUUGACGAAGGAGGUGUCUUGCUAGUAGCUAAGUUUCCAAAGUAACAAAACUUCACCAUUUUCCUUUCUAAGUGGUAGCCUAAAACUCCUCCUUCAUAUAUGUUUGUUAUGAAAGUUGUUAGGCCCAAAGAAGAGGAGGCUAGGCAAUUUUUUUUUUGAAUUUUCAAAUUUUUGAAUUUUCGAAUUUCUGAAAAAAUAUAUAUAUAUUUUAAGCUUUAUAGGUGAAGCUUUGUAGGUGAAGCUUUGAGGUUGAAGCUUUAUUGGAUACUAUGAAUUGAUUUUGCUUCACACUAUCUUGAUCAAGAGUGUGUGAAGUUUUUGUAGGUGAAGCUUUUGUGUUGAAGCUUUGUAGGUGAAACUUUUGUGGGUGAAGCUUUUGUGGGUCAAGUUUUUGUGGGUCAAGCUUUUGUGGGUGAAGCUUUUGUAGGUGAAGCUUUUGUGGGUCAAGCUUUUGUAUGUGAAGCUUUUGUGGGUCAAGCUUUUGGGUUAAGCUUUUAUGGGUGAAGCUUUUGUGGGUAAAGCUUUUGUGUUGAAGCUUUGUAGGUGAAGCUUUGAAGUUGAAGCUUUGUAGGUGAAGCUUUGGAGUUGAAGCUUUGUAAGUGAAGCUUUGGAGUUGAAGCUUUGUAGGUGAAGCUUUGGAGUUGAAGCUUUUGUUGGGUACCAUGAAUUGAUUUUGCUUCACAUUAUCUUGAUCAAGAUAGUGUGAAGCUUUUGAGAAUUUGUAGUUGUCCUCCAUUGAUGAAGCUUUUGUUGGUGAAGCUUUUGUGGUGAACCUUUGUUGGGUACCAUGAAUUGAUUUUGCUUCACACUAUCUUGAUCAAGAUAAUGUGAAGCUUUUGAGAAUUUGUAGUUGUCCUCCAUUAAUGAAGCUUUUGUUGAUGAAGCUUUGUAGGUGAAGCUUUGAAGUUGAAGCUUUGUAGGUGAAUCUUUGGAGUUGAAGCUUUGUAGGUGAAGCUUUGAAGUUGAAGCGUUGUAGGUGAAGCUUUGGAGUUGAAACUUUUGUUGGUGAAGCUUUUGUGGUGAACCUUUGUUGGGUACCAUGAAUUGAUUUUGCUUCACACUAUCUUGAUCAAGAUAGUGUGAAGCUUUUGAGAAUUUGUAGUUGUCCUCCAUUGAUAAAACUUUGUAGAAUUUCCCAAUUUUUUGUUUUUUUUUUUUGGGAAACUAGAAAUUUGAAAAUGUGGGAGAGACAACAUAUACAAAUUUUGCUUCCAUACUGUUGAGCAAGAGAUUGUGAUGCAAGCCACACCUUGUAGUAGUCGAAGGUUUGGAUGAACCAUAUAAAUUGAAUUUGCUUCGAACAGUCUUGAUCAAAAGUGUGUGAAGCUUUUUACGAGUUGUAGUUGCCCUUCAUUGAUGAAGCUUUUGUUGGCACCAUAAAUUGGUUUUGCUUCACACUAUCUUGAUCAAGAGUGUGUGAAGCUUUUGAGAAUUGUGGUUGCCCUUCAUUGAUGAAGCUCUUGUUGGCACCAUAAAUUGGUUUUGCUUCACACUGUCUUGAUCAAAAGUGUGUGAAGCUUUUGAGAAUUGUGGUUGCCUUCCAUUGAUGAAACUCUUGUUGGCACCAUAAAUUGGUUUUACUUCACACUGUCUUAAUCAAGAGUGUGUGAAGCUUUCUACAAGUUGUAAUGUUUGCAUUGUUACAAAGGAAAACUGUUUGAAGCAAAUGCAAGAGGGCUGAAUAGCUUGAUCUUUGUAUGCCAUGCACUGAAGUUGUUGUUGGCUUGCAAUAAGACUUUGUUGGUGACUAUAACUCUUGUUGGGCAUAAGUGCUCCCCUAGUUGAUUUGUAAAACUUGAGGGUUUUUGAUUGUUUGUGAAUGCUAGGAGUUCACAUGUACAAGUUGUACCACUCUUUUUCUGGUUGGUGGAAUGAAUGGUGAGUUGCUUUCAUCACUUGGUUGGUGGUACGAAUGUGAGUUCCUUCAUCAUCUUUCAUCAUAUUUCAUCACCUAGUUGGUGGCACGAAGAUGAGUUCUUUCUUCACCUAGUUGGUGGCAUGAGUGGCAAGUUGCCAAAUGAUAUUAGAGUACGGUUUGUACAUUUCAUCACCUGGUUGGUGGCACGAAGAUGAGUUCCUUUCUUCACCUGGUUGGUGGCAUGAGUGGCAAGUUGCCAAAUGAUAUUAGAGUACGGGUUGUACAUUUCAUCACCUGGUUGGUGGCAUGAAGGAAAGUACGGGUUGUACAUUUCAUCACCUGGUUGGUGGCAUGAAGAUGAGUUCCUUCUUCACCUGGUUGGUGGCAUGAGUGGCAAGUUGCCAAAUGAUAUUAGAGUACGGGUUGUACAUUUCAUCACCUGGUUGGUGGCAUGAAGGAGAGUACAGGUUGUACAUUUCAUCACCUAGUUAUUGGCAUAAAGAUGAGUUCCUUCUUGACAUUUUAUCACCUGGUUGGUGAGAAUAAGGGCAAGGUGUCAAGGCACAUUGUAGCAAGUGUCGAAGACACAAAGUAUGUUGAACCCUUUCGAAGCACAGUUGGCUUAUGUAUGGAUGUGUUGGAAUGUAUGAUGUUUAUGUAUGAAUGUGUUGGAAUGUAUGAUGUUUAUGUUGAUUGAUAUGAGUGAUGCUUAUGAAUGUUUUGCUAUGCAUGAAGGGAUCCAUGCUUUUGAUAUGUGAACCAUGUUGGUUGUAACACUUAGUAUCACAUACUUUGUGUCAAAGUACGCAUGUUGAAGCUCUGAGUUGGAGUAUAAGGGUAGGUCAGCGUAGACCAAGUGUUCCAGUGCUAGGAACGCAAAAGACUCAGAAGAAGUUGUCUGAAUUCCCUCUUCUUUAAAUAUUUGCCGAAUGGCUUGUGUGACAAAAGAUCUCAAGCGGUUGAGAGUCAAAACAUUUGUAAUGUGUAUGCCUUCUUAUAAUAGCAUUUCCUUCAGUACCUAGUCCUCCACUUUGAAAGAGUGAGGCUUGGCCCCAUAGUCAUAAUAGUCGAAGGUACGUUCACCCUUUGUUGUCUUGAUACGAACUUUUAUCCCUCUUGUUGUAAUGGGCUUGCUGAGAGUAAAAAUCCUUCCUCUUACCAAGAGACAGAUACGUUUGGUGACUUAGCGAGUAGCUAAAUGAGGCAGGAGAUGAUGCAAUGGGUGUCUGAAUGGCCAAUAUCUCCUCACUUGGUAGAACUUGACUUCCACUUCCCACUUGUUGAUAGGGGUUAACCAUAUGGGGGUUCCCUUGGUAUGUCCUUGCUUCGGCGGAGGCGUGGUUGUAAGCCUGUGCCAUCACCUCAGAGUAAGUCUUCCAAGUGUUGGCAUUGAUCAUGUACUUGAAGAAACAAUCACGUAGGCCUGCCGUGAAGGCCUUGAGGGCGGUCUUGUCAUCUGCCUCAGCGCAGCGAGAAUACUCAUGGCUGAAGUGACCGGCAUACUCUCGUAGUGACUCGUCCGGCUUCUGGCGAAUAGUGUACAAGUCAUCUGUAGAAUGCAAUGCAAGUGAUCGGUCUGGAAGAUGUGUUGAGAGACAAACAGUUUCCUCAAGUUCCUCAAAUGAGUCUACUGUCUCAGGUGGAAGACGGCAAUACCAGUUUAGAGCUCCGCCAGAGAGGGUGGAGGGGAAGAGAAGACAUCGCUCUUCGUCGGUGUGCAUCUAAUAUGCCUUGGUGGACUCAAAGAGGUUAAGGUGUUCAAUUGGGUCCUCCCUUCCAGUAUAGAGUUGUAAACCAAGCUUUUGUUUUGUCUUCGCUUGAAGGGGGGUGUCGAUGAUCCUUCUUGUGAGAGGGCCAGGCCUGGGUUGGUUCCAGUCCAGUAUCUCGGCCUGACGUUUAGCCUUCAACUUGUUUACUUCAUCAAUGAGCUGUAGGACAAGAGGGUCCUGAGUGGAGUCAUGUACCACUGGAAUUUUCUUUCGUAAGUCUCCAUCGCCUCUUGGGAGUAGGAAAGUUUGAUCAAGGGCGUGUGAUUUUUUCUUGGACUCGCCGUACUGACUUCUAGGGCGAGUCUGUCGGAAUACCUCAGAGUCCCCUGUACCUUCAUGUUCCUUUGGGACCUAUCGUUCCUUCCUUAGAUUGGCAUCUGGCUUGGGUCGUGGGAGGAGACCGAGUCUUUCAGAAACCCUUGGGUCAUUGAUCUUCGAGCAUAUGUGAAAGGGAUUCUCUCGACGUUGCUUUAGGAAGUCUCGGCAGUCAUGAUAAACGGAUUUCGAUCCUUCCAACCCUUCUGCAAGGAGGUGUCUUCCUCCACUUCUUCUGCCUUCUUCUGCUUCGGGUCGAAGCAUCUAGGUUGAGAAAAGUCUCAUGUUGAUCAAUAUUUUGAUGAUUAGCUCGCUCCUCAUCAGGGAUACCCAUGUUGAAUGGAUGUGACCCUCCGAGUUGGGGGGCACCCAGAUGAUGGUUGAUGUCCACAGAGGCAACGAGCUCGCGUGUUUGAGUACGCCUAGUUUCGUGGAGCGUCUCAACGAGCUUUUCAUACUGCUCCUGGAUGACCUCAUUCUUCAUUGCUAUCUUGUUGUUCUGAGCUUUUAGCUUAUCAACUUUAGCUUGAAGAGCAACCCUCUUUCUUUCUUUCUUUCAUUGCUUCGCACUAGGUGUAAGAGGGGUGUCAUUCUGUGUGCUGUGGUUUUUUUUGCUCCCCAUGUUAGAGAGGGAUGCCUAGUCAAAAGAGAGUGUACGAAUGGUGGAAACCAGCUUGGCAAAGCUGAAGAGAGUGGGAAUAAGUGUCGUUCCCACAGACGAUGCCAAAUGUUGAUGCACAAAAUCAGUAGGGACUUUGGUACAACAGAAAAUGUUAAGUUUGUGAACUUCGCUAGAUUGCUCUGGUCACUAGUGUUGAUAAGUAUGUAAAUGGAUAGAGACAGGGAAGCAAACACAAGAUGUAUGUGGUUCACCCAGAUUGGCUACGUCCAUGGAGUAGAUAAGUUCACAUUAAUUGUGAAGGGUUUACACAAGAACAUAGGUUCAAACUCUCCUUUAGUGAGUACAAGUGAAUGAUUUAGUAUAAAUGACAUUAGGAAAUAUUGUAAGAGAAUGAUGUCUAUUUAUAGAAGAGAGUUUCUAGUUUCAUUCUGACAUUGACACGUGUCGUGUUGUGAUUGGCUUCUAAUGUUGACACAUGUCACGCUAUGAUUGGCUUCUGAUGUCGACACAUGUCGCGCUGUGAUUGGCCUCCUGGUUGGAGGGAAACUCUUCUGGGUCCUUGAAGGUAUAACGUUGACCGGUGCUCAGUAGUUUCGGGAUUGGUCAAGUAUGGUACAAACAAUUUUGAUAUACUAUUGGGUGAGGAUGAAGAAAAAGUUGAAAGUGCCAUAAAUGCGGUGAAGGACUUGUUGAUUGAUCUUUACAAGAUUCAUGAAGAUUUGUCUUUUGGUACACAACUAGAAUGAGUAGUGGUGGUAGUUCUCAAGCAACAAGUGGAGAUUUGUCAUUAAGCAUGACCAAAAUAGAAAGAAAGUUGAAAGAAAAAAAAGCAAAGAGAGCUCAAGUUGUGCAUAAUUAUGUGGAUAGGUAUCUUUCCGAUUCUAAUGAAGGGGAGGAAGAUGAAAACUUUAAUAUAUUGAAUUGGUGGAGGGUGAAUAGGGUUUCUAAAUAUCCUAUUUUGGCAUGUGUUGCAAGAGAGAUCCUUGUUAUUCCCGUAUCAACAUUGCUUCAAAAUCCUUCUUUAGCACAAGUGGAUGGAUAAUUGAUCCAUAUCGUAGUUCUUUGAGUCCAAAAAUGGUGAGGGCCUUGAUAUGUACUCAAAAUUGGCUUAGGUUUAUCCAUGUUGCAUUACAUCAUGAGCUAAUCAUUGAGGAGAUUGAGUUUUGUGAAGAAGUUGAGAAAGGUAAUUUUAUUUAUUGCAUAUGGUUUUCUUAGAUUAUUUGAAAAUAACAUUUUAAUUAGUAUUCUUUUAUUAUUAUUUGUAUGUGGAAAUGGCAAGUGGAAGUUCAAAAAAAAGGUGCUAUGUUGCCCCCUGGGCCGCCUAAGCAAACUCUUGUUCAAACUUGAAAUGGUUGAGUGUUGAUCUUGAGAACUUGAAGAAGUAUGUGCAAGACAUGGAACUUUGGAUGUUUACUUGAAUUUAUUAUCUUAGUUGUAGUGUUUAUUUUAAGUAGAAUAUUUCUUUCAAGUUUGGACUUUGGAAUGUUUAUUUUAGGUGUGGAAGACUUGGAACUUUGACGUUUAUCUGAGCAUUCUCAAAUUCGAUUCCAUGAUUAGUUCUGAUUUUGACUAGAGCAGAAUGGCUAGUUAAAGAUUGAUUCAACUUUACUUUGUACACAGUGAAGAAUUGUUGAAAGGUAUCAGAUUUUUUCCUUAAAAAGCAUACCCAAGUGAACCUAGAGUAGUCAUUUACAAUUACCAAGAUGUACUUCUUGCCAUCAAGAGAUAAGGUAUGAAUUGGUCCAACAAGAUCCAUAUGAAUCAAUUGAAGAGGCUUAGUUGUUCCAAUGUCAGUCACUUUCUUGUGAGCCAUCCUAGAUUGCUUUCCCAAUUGACAUGAUCCACAAACAUAUGAGUUAGUGGCAACCCCUUCACAACCUCAUGUUUGGACAAUUUCUUGAAGUCUUUGAAGUUCGCAUGCCUAAGUCUGUUAUGCCACAAUACGCUAGUUUCAUCAAUAGCUUUGUGGCAUAUAGAGUAUUCUGCAAUUUUAGAGACAUCAAUAAUGUAGCAAUUGUCUCUAGAUCUCGAGAGUACAAGCAAAUUCUUUCCAUGUUUAUCCAUAAUCAUGCAACCUCUUUUUGAGAAGCACACUUCAUCAACCACAUCAUCAUACAACUGGCUAAUGCUAAUGAGAUUUGACUUCAACCCAUCAACAUAACUAACAUUUUCAAGCUUAGGUAAUCCAGGGAUUUUGACAUCACAUUUCCCUAUGAUCUGAGACUUGUCCCCACCACCAAACAUAACACCAUCGCUAAUAAAAGGAGCAAGAAAUGAGAAAGCCUCAUUGUCUCCAGUCAUGUGACGAGAACACCCACUAUCAAGAUACCAUACAUUUGGUUCGGUAACAAAUAGAACAUUUAAAACAACAUGACACCUAUUUAAGGCCUUUUGAACCUACUUUGAAAGCUUAAUAUUUCUAGAUGAAGAAGAAUGAACAAGUUGAACAAUUCUGUUGACUUCGAUGACCAGACGAUCCAUCAGACCUUUCAACAAAUUGGUCUUUUCAAAGUACAAAUUUCUACAUUUUGGACAAAUAUGCCCAAAUUCACCACAGUAAUGGCACAUAGGAACAGAUCUUGUCUUUGGACAUGGUUUGACUUUAUAAGAUGCAUGCCUAGAUUCUCUAACAAAUUUUGUUUUGGUGAGGAUAAAACUCUAGCCAUUUUCUACAUAUCGAAGAUCACUUUUGUCACCGUGUAGUUUCCCAAUACUCAUCAUGUUGGCAAAAUUUUCAGACCCAAUAGUGAGCCGAAUAACUUUAUCAUUUGCCUCAUUUAGCUCAAGUAGCUGUUUCCUGUUAGUCUUAUGAUACAUUACAUUAUUUGCCUUCAACACAUGAAUUUGAUUCAUCAAGUUUUCUUGAGAUUCUAUCAAGUUUUGAACUUGAGCUUCAAGAGUAGUAAUAACAUCAUCUUUUUCAACUUUGUCAUUGCAAUUAGAAACCUUCUUAUUCAGCUUCUCAACAUGGGUAUCAAGAUAACCAAUCUUUUCAUCCAUUUCAGUUCUGACUAGACGAAGAGACUUGCUUUCGUUCUGUAACUCAACAACCUUCUUAGUCAGCUUAAUUUUCUCCACUUUUAUAGUACAAGUCUCAUCAAAGGGAGUAUAAUACUUGAUGCACAAUUCAUCAUAGGUCAUCUCGUUAUUGCCAGUAAGUACAAAAUCAUCAUCAUUUAGAGACAUCCUCAAUUUGAGCAACAAAAACAACAAAAUUUUCUUCAUCAUCUAAUGACUCAUCAGAAUGAACAGAACCUUGAUCAUUGUUAUCACUCUAGGUAACCAUCAUUGCCUUUUAGCGCUUUUGACCAAAGAGUUUGGUAUUAGCACAAUCAGCAACACGAUGCGCACUUCCCUCACAAGAAAAGUAAAGACUAGAUAUCUUUGACCACUCUUUGUCACUUUUUCUACCAAGCCCUUUGUGUUUCAUUCCAGUAGCAAGUUUCUCCCGACUAGUUGAUGAUUCACCAAACCACUUAGAAUCAUUCCCUUUGUUUUUGAGAAUUCUUCUGAAAUGCUUGAAAAACAAGGCAAGAUCUUCAAUAGAGGAUUGUCCACACAAUUCACUUACAACUUCACUGUUCUCAACAUCUUAAAGGGUCAUUUCUUUUCUCUUUUUGGAGCCACUUUCAUCCAUAUCAAGUCCACCUUAUAGGUGAUGAGUUUUCCAACUAAUUUUCCAAGCUUGAAUUCAUUUAGGUCCUAAAACUCUUGAAUGUCAACCUUCUUUGCAUGAAAUCUCUUGGGUAAAGAUCUCAAAAUCUUUUUAACAACAUUGUUUCAUCAAUAAGCUUUCCUAACCCCCAAGGCUUGAUUUGUCAACAUUUUAACUUUCUCAUAUAAACUGAGAAGGUCUUAGACUCGAGUAUUCUCAAAUCCUCAAAUUUUGAAAGAGUCAUUUGGAGUUUUAGAUCUCUCACUUGUUUAUCACCCUCAUGAAGAAUUUAGAGCUUGUCCCAAACUUGCUUGGCAGUUGUGCAAUAUCAAACAUGACCAAACUUAUUAGACAAAAUGGCAGAAACAAUAACAUUCUUUGCUUUCUUACUAGCCAUGGUUGAAGCAAUUUCUCCUUGAGUCCAUUCACCUUUUAGCUUAAUCACACUCUCCAUUGACUAGCCUCAAUAGAGCCUUCUACUUAAGGGUGAGAUAAUUAACAGCUAUAAUAUCUUGAGCCUUAAGAAAGAUUUAAAAUUUCUAAUUCCAAGCAGCAUAAUUUGUACCAUCAAAAGAAUGGAGGUGUAUUCCACAAGCCACCGACAUGAUCACGGUCCAUGGUGAGAUUCCACCCAAUACCAGCAAAUCCCUAAGAUCACUCUAUGUAUAUCUAGAGCAAGGCUCUAAUACGGUACCAGGCUGAAUACACUGUAUAUAUAAAUUAUAAUCCGCUGGAUUGGCUAGUCAACUAAGAUAAAUUUGUUAGUCAAUAAAUCAAAGAUUCAAUUACCAAUUUCAAUUCCCAAAAACUAUCCUAGUUAGCAAGACAUUAGUUCAUUGAAAGUUAUUAAUGUGUCAAAUGAGCAUGAUUGUGAGCACAUACCAUUUAAAUGUUCAACACAUAUAUGUACAAUGUAUGUGUAUGUAAGAAGUAUGACACAAUACAAAUAACUUUGAACACAAGAUGUUUUUGACCGGAAAAACCCACCUCUGGGUAAAAAAAUCGGGAAUUCUCCAUUGAGUCUAAUCCACUAGUGUAAACAAAGUUCAUACAAAGACCCUACAAGCUUAAUUCCUAGAUCCCUAUCUACAGAGUAGCUUUACCUUUAUGCAACCUUGCCUUACACGAGAUGAACUCCUUCGGUUUUCACGAAGUGGCAGCUCUUCCUAAGCUCCUCUAAAAUUAAGAAAUAAUCCUAAAAUUAUUAAUUAAAACUUUUCCUGAAUCUUUAGUCUAAAAUUAAGAAAUUAUCCUAAAAUUAUCCUCAGUCUAAUUGGCACUUACCGCUAACUCAUCCAACAUAGACUUCUUCAUGUCCUCUAACACUUUUUUUCCAAAACUCACUCUAGAGGACAUUUGUUCUACAGUAAUGACCCAACGUCGUGCACAAGCAUGGCGUGCGACUCAUUUGGAGCAUAAAGUAACCUAAUGGAUGAAUUUUGAUACUUUGUACAAUGUAUGUGUAUGUAAGAAGUGUUGAAAAUAUGCCCUGAAAGUCAAUCUUUGGAAGAAACCUUUCAGGACAAUAAAUGGAUGUAUAGAUGACUCUUAUACAUCAAAUGGCAAAGAUACUAUUUAGGACUAUUUCUAUAAACGAUAUAUGUCCUAAAUGGUGAAUCCAUGGACAAUGGAUCGAUUGAAGAAGUAAUCUAAUGAAGUUAGACUACAGAGACCUUCUUCUCAUAACCAUCAUGUCCAAAAGGUUCCUGGUCAUAGGAUUGUCGGAGGGAUAUUGACAAUGCAUAGACCGGUACUAUGUCCGCUUCAAUUAGAAGGAUGGAAAGUCUCAUCCCAUUCGUGUAGUGACACUAAGACAAGUAUGUAGGUGCUCAUUAAGGGAAUGAGUUCACUGAACACAAUCGAACGAGAGUACUUGCAUGAAGGUCUACUCACAUGUCAAGCAAGUAACUCUAAUAGUUGGAAUAAUGUAAGUAGUCCUUUGACCUGAGGCAUCAUCGUUGUCUUGUGGUUAAGUACUUGAUCUUUGAUUAUGUCAAAGUCACUCCAUCCGCGGGUGUCCACGGCAUAGUCGGGGUUAAGCCACUUAGACAUGAAGGCAAGUGAAUGCGCAACAAGGAAUCUCUAAUCCUCGUUAAGAGAGGAUGAAUACUCUAAGAUAUGAUUCUGAAAUCUUCGGCCGAAGUAUCGAGCGUAAUAAAGGAAAGCGUUCCUAUACGACUCAAUUGAAUCAUAUAAGAAGGAAUACUCACAUUAGGGGUUUGGCAUAAUAUAUCCAUACCCUAGUGAUGUGAUUGAGAGUAUUGUUUUAGAGAAGGAUCGAAUUACAUUGUAAUUCCAACUGAAUAGGUUCUCCGAACAACUUCUACAUUAGCUUGGGUAGCCAUGAUAUAUGGUUAGAUGUCACUCGUGGCUUGUGAGUUCUUCUAGAUGAUUAAAUGUAGUCGUCAAAGAAGAAGGUGAAUUAAAAGUAAGUUUUAAUUCACUAAGUGAUUGGAUUAAAUGUAAUCAAUUGGAUUGGUGCCAAUCACCUCACUGCCUUGCUAAUUAGAACCUAAAACGAUUGUUCACCAAUACACUCUUGUAGUGAGUAAUUAAUGGAUGAUGGAAAUAAUUAAUUGGAUUAAUUAAGUGUUGUGAUUAAUUAGAAAGGCUAAAGAAAUCAUAAAAGCGAUAUAAGAUCGUUUUGGGCUUAAAGAAACGUUCGGGUUUAAUUGGGCCCAUUGGGCCUAAACCCAUUGGGCUUUUAUUCAAGCAUUGGAUGACUUGAAAUAAAUAAAAGCCCAAAGCCCAAACAACACAAAGGGGCCGGCCAAAGGAGGGAGAGAAAGGUCAAAUGUUGACUUGUUUCUUUUUGGCUAUAAAAGGAACUUUAUAGCAAAUGUUUCAUUAGGGUUUUUGAAGUGUUAAAAGAACAAAAGAGAAAAAAGAAAAAUAUCUCUCUAACACUUAAAGGGCCGGCCACCAUAGGGGGAUUUUAGCUAAUCAUCUUUUCACCCCUUUGGUUAUUCCUUCAUCCUUCUCACUACACUAGUGGGUGAGGAUCUUUAGAGGUUUUCAAUUUUGGAAACUUGAAGAGAACCUAGGAGCACUCAUUCUAAACAAAGUGGAGGAGGCAAGGAAGGAGGCUAGGCUCAAGGAGUUCAAGGAGCAAAGGGCUUGGAGGUGGUCCAUCAUUGGUCUAAGAUCUAGAUCAAGAGGUAUAAAACUAAACCUACACUUUGUUCUUCACUAAAAUGUUUUGAUGCAUCUUAUAUAAACCUAUGCAUCUUGAAGGGGAUUUGCAUGACUAUAGCUUUGAUAUUAUGUGAUAACAUGCUUCCGUUGCUUAUGUAUAUAAAUUUUGAAGUGUAUAUGCAUGCUAGUCACUAGAAAUCCCACAUGAAUCUCAUUAUUUUCCCUUCAAGUGGUAUCAGAGCCAAAGGUUUAUAUUUGAUGUGUCCUUUUGGAUUUUAUGCAUAUGAGUUUUAAUUUGAUGUAUGACAUAUUAUUUCUUCAUUCAAAGUAUGUUUAUCUUUUGUUUUUCAAAUGUUGAAAAAUGUGAAUCAAGAGUUGAAAAAGAUAUGCAUGCAAAAAGUGUUUUGGAUGCAUGAAUGAAUAUUGAGUUUUGGAACAAAAUUUGGGGCUAAAGUUCCAUAGGGGAGGGCACGGUUUUGGGGGUGGUUUUUGGCUUGUGUUUGUGUUUUAUUGUAAGCCACUCACACAUCCUUUUAAAGCUAGAAAGUAGAGAUCUUGUCAUUUUUGCUUUUGGGUUUGAAAAAAUCACCAAGAAUAUACAAAUCUUGAAAUUAUGUUCAUGGUUUUGUUCUUGGUGUUCAUGGUUUUGGUUUUGGUGAAAGUGGUUUUAUUUGAUGUUUAUAUAAUGUUUUAUGGUUUUGGAUGAUAUACAUACCAUCCAUAGCCUUCCCAAAAAUUUAAUAAAACCUAGACUUGACUAGGUGAAUUUCCAUCACCCUUUUCUUAAAGUCUUUAAAGCUUAAGUCAAGUGACAAGUAAAAUUUGGAUUUUUUUCUACUUUGUAUUAAUUCAAUGCAAUGUGUAAGAAACCUCCCAUCCUCCUUAAUUUGGCCGGCCUCCCUAGUGGAUUUAUCCACUUGUGGGGCUAUUUUGUAAUUUUUUGAAAAGUUGAUAAUUACUUUCAAGUAUUUACGGUUUGACCCCUAACUUUUUGUAUUUGCAUUUAGGCCCAUACUAACUAGAAAGUUAAAAUAUUUGAUUUUAAUUUUGUUAGUUGUUUAAACUCAUAAUACUAUUAUGCCCAUAUGCACUAAAUCUAAUUGUUUAUGUUGCAUUCCUAUUAAUUAUUUAAUGUGAUUAAGUAGUUAGAAAAUGGUUGACUAUGGACUUAUGCCUUAAACGAUAAUUGAGCUAUGAGAAAAGGCGCUAAACUCAAAUUGUUUGAACCUUGGGAAUGUGUUUUAAUUACUAUUUCAAUUGGACCUUGUCAUGAUAGACAUUAAUCUUUCUCUCCCUCUUAGUAUUUGUAAUUUGUAGGAAUUUGUACAAAUCGGUUUGUAAUUCUUAUUACUUCUUAAUCUCUUUCAAUUAGUUGAUUCCCUCUAGUACUAGACUAGAGUUUCUUUAACUAUUGGUAAGGUGACAUGAUUAAAAGAGGGUUUUGUCAAGAGAUUAAAGAUUAAUUGGGUCCAACGCCCUAAUUAGCAAUGAAUGAUUGUCUUUCAUUUCUAAUGGCUCAAUGAAAAAUGUUUUAAUUGGAUUGAAAGCACGUAAUUAAAACGACACAACCUUCCCUAGAUCUUAUUCAACAAUGUUGGCUCGUUGUUGAAUUAACCCAAUAAGUCCAUGGUCAUCCAAAGAGCCUGAGAUAACUAUAAAGUCCAAUUUCAAAGGAAUGCAAAAACCAUAGUAGUAGUAGUUACUUCCAAUAUUUGAAAAAUUCGUUUUUGAUAUUGAUUUGUUUUUCUCAAAACAAAUAGUGGGAGUAUCAUACACUACUAAACUAUAAUGAAUACAAUUAGUAGUUAUAUAUAUCUCCAAUAUUUUGAAAAAUGUUUUGAUAUUGAUUUGUUUUAUGAAAACAAAUAGUGGGGAUAUCAUAUGCUACUAAUUUCAUUAACUUUGGACUAGUAGUUAUAAUAGGACACAAUUUAUUUGAAUGUAAUUAAACAAAUAAAAUUGAUGAGACCUUAAAAUCCCUCAACCAACAUACAAUAUUAAGUUGAAAGCGUAAGAGUGCUUUGAACACUUUUUCGUGGCCUUCCACCGUGGUAGGCUCCAAUCGUUUAUGACUUGUACACCGCCUUCACCCUAUCAUGCGGGAGUGCAAAGUGCAUGCUUAUACUCAGGAGGAGUUUAUUUAAAACAUUUGAUGAGGUGAAGGUAGGCAACGAGUGUGGCCAAUAUCGUAUCAUCGUGAGGUCAUACUUAGACCCCUAUCUAAACCGGCAUGGUGGGAAAGAACUUAACUAAGAAAAAUGGUGCCAAUAUCGUAUCAUCGUGAGGCAUUGUUUUCUAGAGGCCAAAAAGAUGGGUAAUCACAAGAGGUUGUUGUGAAUGGGUAAAUGUACCCUCUCAUUAUUAUUUUUGCUAGCCAAUAUCGUAUCAUCGUGAGGUGGGCUUGGUAAUAGUGAGCCUCCCAUAACCCGCUAGGAGCUUUCAUUGAAAUCUCCGAGAUUCCAUCUUGAGGGAUAUGGAAUUUGCCAAAAAUGGUAGAUGGUGUCAUUCAGUUUAAAGACCCGAAUCGUUUGAUUUAAUCAACAAUCAAACUAAUUAUUUUAUUGUUUAUGUAUUUAGAUAUGGUUGGAAGCACACUUGCGAAAAUACUCGACAAACAUUGCCUAGAGGGGCACAAUUUCCCAUCAUGGUAUCGUAAUGUCAAGAUUCUCCUAACAUUGGAGAAGAUUGUUUACGUGCUAGACAAGGCCCCACCUCACAUACCUCUCGGCCUUGAGGCCACUGAGGAUGAACGUGCUAAGUAUGACAAGCACGUUGAGGAUGAUACACAAGCUAAGUGCUAUCUGUUGGCUUCCAUGAAUGAGGAGCUACAGAGACAGCACGAGGGCAUGAACAGUGCAUCUUCCAUCAUACUCUAUCUUACGGAGUUAUAUGGUGAAGGGACGCGCAACCGUUGCUUUAGCACUGUCAGUGAACUUGUGAAGACCAAGAUGGUCAAGGGAGCUCCAGUGCAUCAACAUGUACUGAAGAUGAUUGGACUCAUUGAACAACUGGAGAACCUAGGGACUCCACUUGACGGGGAAUUGGCCCAGGACUUCAUCUUGGCUUCUCUUUCUGAUUCGUUCUCGCAGUUCGUUAUGAACUACAAUAUGAACACGAUGGAUAGCACUCUCUCUGAGUUACUAAACAUGUUAGUAACCGCUGAGAAGACUAUGAAGAAAGAGAAUGUUGUAGGGACUGCUGCAGUAGCCUACAACAAGCCAUCCUCUUCCAAGGCCAAGCCGCAAGGCAAAGGCAAAGGGAAGGAGAAGAAGUCACCCACUCCUAAGCCGCAAGGAGGAGUGAGGAAAAAGAAGGCAAAGGAGCCCAAGAGGACUUGCCACCACUGUGGAAAGGAGGGGCAUUGGAAGAGGAAUUGCAGGUUAUACCUUGCAACUCUAAAGGACAAGCCACAAUGUAUGGUUUAUGUUCUUAUCUUCAAUUCUAAUUGUUAGAUCUUCUAAAUAUUUAUAUUUGAUAUAAAGAGCUAAUCACUUAUAUAAUUGUAUAUAGGUGGAGGAGCCAAGUAGAAGUUGAACAAGCAAGGAAAAGGUUGGAGAAGGGUUCGGCCACCAUAUUUUUGCUAACUACUUAGGAAGUUUGUUAGGCACUUAAAGAUAGUCUUUAAACUUUCUUAUUUUGUUAAGAACUUAUAAUGUGGCUUCAUAUGAUGGAAGACCACUAUUGGUGCCUACAUGAAGGUAUAUAAUUAGUCUCUAAAUGUAUAGAGCUAAUUCUUUUUGUAUUAAACAUUAUGAAUGUUUGAAUUAUCAUAUCAAUGUAAUGUGAUGAAUGCCUUCUAAUAUAUUAUUUCCUUAAAGUAGUGUUAUGAAUUGAAUAUUGUCUUGUUGUAUCCUAGUUGAGAUGCAAGAUUUAUAUCACUUAUGUAAUGCGAUAUCCAAACUUUAGACUUAUCAAUUAUGGAUAGAUCUCACGUGUAGGACAUAGAAGGAUACAAUGAAUCUUUAGAUUUGGUUCCAAUUGUCUACAUAUGAGUUCUAUAUGAAUUGAAAAAGGGUCUAGAGAUUCCUUUCUUGAAGAAAAGGAAUAUCACAUUAUAAUGAUAUAAGUAAUAAAGAAAAACGUUUCUUAUAUGGUUAUCACUUAAACCACAAUAAUCAAGAUCACUCUUGAUUAAAUUAGUAGUUUUGAACAACUAAUUGGGCAUUCUUAAAAUCGUUUUAAAAUGACAAGUGUGUUAGUGAUUAAACCAAGAAUGAUGUGUCUAAAUCUAUGAAAUGUUUAAAAGACUUUAGUCACUUAAUAGCAAGACAUCGACUUAGUGGAGAUUGAACAAAUGAGCUUGAAAGGUUUUAAAGCUACUCCACAAUGUCCUCUACCCGUAUACUCCACGUUUAUACAUUUUGAAUGUAUGAAGUGAAUUUCUCAUUAAACUCAUGAGAAAUAGUGGGAGGUGAGAAAAAGGAUAUAAACUUGAAUAUGAUUGGUUUAUAGUUGUCUAAAGAAUAAUAGUACUUCACUACUAUUAAGAGUUUGUAAUUUUAAUUGUUAAAAGACUCAAGCUCUUCAAAACGUUAAAAUUCAAUGUUGUGUAACAUUCUAAAGAAUAGUCUUUGAAUGUUGGUGUCGUCAACCUAGCAUAAAAUGGUUAUAUGUUGGGAGUUGUCCAUCAUUCUCUUUCAUGAGAACAAGCUAAUAACAAAGCAUUUGGACAAGUUGAUGAAACAAAAGGGAAUAGUUUCAAAAUGAGUCACAACAUAUGGUUUAACAACAAGACAAUCCAAAUUCUGCACCUCUUGUAACUAUAACGCUCUAUGUAGUUUUGAUAAAAAAUUAUAUCAACCACCUAGAAGGAAUGGAGUUUCUAUAUCCUUAGUAGGAGCCAUGCUUCCACUAAAGACUUGGAUAAUUCUUAUAUGACUACAUUAAAGGUCUUAGUAUGACUAAAACUUGAAGUAUGGUGUAUGACACCAUAUAAUUUAAAUGAAUAGACUUGAUAAAACAAGUCACACAUAUCAAAUGGAAUUACUUGAGAAGGAAUUCUUUUAUGUAUGUUCGUUUAAAUAACUUUUGUUAGCUAGAGUUGUUGAUAGUCCCAAAAUUGUUGAGACAUCAUCAAAUAAGCUAAUGGAUCUCAAUGAUUGUCAAUAGAUCCAAGACAAGUUAGUGGGAGCAAUAUGCAUUCAAAUCAAGAAAAUAUAAGUAUUAAACUUUGAAUGAAUGCUAAGUUACAACAAGGCCAGUGGGAGUGAUGUCAUAAUUGAGCAACAAGAUAUGAAUAAAGUCUAUUUGACAGACUUGAUAAAACAUAGAUGUUACUAAAAAAUGACAAAAUUGUGACACGGUCAAUUUUGGAGUAUAGACUUGAAAUUGGACUUAAUGAUAUAGCAAGGCUAUCUCAAGAAUGUUUAAUGGGGAAAUUAAAUCUCAAAUGUUGAAGAUUUGAGAAGGUGUUUUCCUAUAUGAUAGAAAAUCACUUUCAUAACCCUUAUAAUGAAUAUGUCAUAAAAUCACAAAAGGGACACAUGUAUGGACUUGUGAGAUGAUAUCCAAAGGUGAAAAACCACAGGGGUUGUCACUUUAAGAUAUUACUAUAGCCCAGGAUCAGAACCAAAGCAACUGAUAGAGUAUUAUUGCCUUUAAGAAAGGAACAUCAGAGUGGGACUCUGGAAGUGUGCGUUCACUUAGGUUAUAAACCAAAGUGAAAAUAAGCCAUUUUAACAAAUGGAACUGCAUAAUGGAUGAAGUACUAAUCAUAUGAAUGUAUUGUAAGUAUUGUACUACAAUGGUCUCAAGGUUGGAGCAAAGUUUGUAUAAAGUAUACAAACGAAAUAUAUGACGAUAUAUUGUUUUAGAAACUGCUUCAAAAGGUGUUUUGAAUGGAAGAGGUUCUUUUAGAACCAAUGAUUGAAUCCAAACCAUAAGGUCGUUAGUAGGACACUACGACGUAAUGGGGCGAUAGCUCAAGCCAUGAAAUCAAGGUCUCAUCAAAGUAUUCGAACACAAGAAAGAGACAUCAUCAAAUGUUUUGGAAACAUUUGAUAAGUGAAUCCCUUUUAAAUAAAAAGGAUUAAUACAUAACCAAGUUAACCUACGAGCAUAAGCUCUCUCAACUAGCAUGUAUAAGAUACACUAGUGAUUGACUUUAGUGCAAGUGGGAGACUGUUGGAAAUAUGCCCUGAAAGUCAUCUUUGGAAGAAACCUUUCAGGACAAUAAAUGGAUGUAUAGAUGACUCUUAUACAUCAAAUGACAAAGAUACUAUUUAGGACUAUCUUUAUAAACGAUAUAUGUCCUAAAUGGUGAAUCCAUGGACAAUGGAUCGAUUGAAGAAGUAAUCUAAUGAAGUUAGACUACAGAGACCUUCUUCACAUAACCAUCAUGUCCAAAAGGUUCCUGGUCAUAGGAUUGUUGGAGGGAUACUGACAAUGCAUAGACCGGUACAUACUAUGUCCGCUUCAAUUAGAAGGAUGGAAAGUCUCAUCCCAUUCGUGUAGUGACACUAAGACAAGUAUGUAGGUGCUCAUUAAGGGAAUGAGUUCACUGAACACAAUCAAACGAGAGUACUUGCAUGGAGGUCUACUCACAUGUCAAGCAAGUAACUCUAAUAGUUGGAAUAAUGUAAGUAGUCCUUUGACCUGAGGCAUCAUCGUUGUCUUGUGGUUAAGUACUUGAUCUUUGAUUAUGUCAAAAUCACUCCAUCCGCGGGUGUCCACGGCAUAGUCGGGGUUAAGCCACUUAGACAUGAAGGCAAGUGAAUGCGCAACAAGGAAUCUCUAAUCCUCGUUAAGAGAGGAUGAAUACUCUAAGAUAUGAUUCUGGAAUCUUCGGCCGAAGUAUCGAGCGUAAUAAAGGAAAGCGUUCCUAUACGACUCAAUUGAAUCAUAUAAGAAGGAAUAAUCACAUUAGGGGUUUGACAUAAUAUAUCCAUACCCUAGUGAUGUGAUUGAGAGUAUUGUUUUAGAGAAGGAUCGAAUUACAUUGUAAUUCCAACUGAAUAGGUUCUCCGAACAACUUCUACAUUAGCUUGGGUAGCCAUGAUAUAUGGUUAGAUGUCACUCGUGGCUUGUGAGUUCUUCUAGAUGAUUAAAUGUAGUCGUCAAAGAAGAAGGUGAAUUAAAAGUAAGUUUUAAUUCACUAAGUGAUUGGAUUAAAUGUAAUCAAUUGGAUUGGUGCCAAUCACCUCACUGCCUUGCUAAUUAGAACCUAAAACGAUUGUUCACCAAUACACUCUUGUAGUGAGUAAUUAAUGGAUGAUGGAAAUAAUUAAUUGGAUUAAUUAAGUGUUGUGAUUAAUUAGAAAGGCUAAAGAAAUCAUAAAAGCGAUAUAAGAUCGUUUUGGGCUUAAAGAAACGUUCGGGUUUAAUUGGGCCCAUUGGGCCUAAACCCAUUGGGCUUUUAUUCAAGUAUUGGAUGACUUGAAAUAAAUAAAAGCCCAAAGCCCAAACAACACAAAGGGGCCGGCCAAAGGAGGGAGAGAAAGGUCAAAUGUUGACUUGUUUCUUUUUUGCUAUAAAAGGAACUUUAUAGCAAAUGUUUCAUUAGGGUUUUUGAAGUGUUAAAAGAACAAAAGAGAAAAAAGAAAAAUAUCUCUCUAACACUUAAAGGGCUGGCCACCAUAGGGGGAUUUUAGCUAAUCAUCUUUUCACCCCUUUGGUUAUUCCUUCAUCCUUCUCACUACACUAGUGGGUGAGGAUCUUUAGAGGUUUUCAAUUUUGGAAACUUGAAGAGAACCUAGGAGCACUCAUUCUAAACAAAGUGGAGGAGGCAAGGAAGGAGGCUAGGCUCAAGGAGUUCAAGGAGCAAAGGGCUUGGAGGUGGUCCAUCCUUGGUCUAAGAUCUAGAUCAAGAGGUAUAAAACUAAACCUACACUUUGUUCUUCACUAAAAUGUUUUGAUGUAUCUUAUAUAAACCUAUGCAUCUUGAAGAGGAUUUGCAUGACUAUAGCUUUGAUAUUAUGUGAUAACAUGCUUCCGUUGCUAUGUAUAUAAAUUUUGAAGUGUAUAUGCAUGCUAGUCACUAGAAAUCCCACAUGAAUCUCAUUAUUUUCCCUUCAAGAAGUAUGACACAAUACAAAUAACUUUGAACACAAGAUGUUUUUGACCGGAAAAACCCACCUAUGGGUAAAAAAAUCGGGAAUUCUCCAUUGAGUCUAAUCCACUAGUAUAAACAAAGUUCAUACAAAGACCCCACAAGCUCAAUUCCUAGAUCCCUAUCUACAGAGUAGCUUUACCUUUGUGCAACCCUGCCUUACACGAGAUGAACUCCUUCGAUUUUCAUGAAGUGGCAGCUCCUCCUAAGCUCCUCUAAAAUUAAGAAAUAAUCCUAAAAUUAUUAAUUAAAACUUUUCCUGAAUCUUUAGUCUAAAAUUAAGAAAUUAUCCUAAAAUUAUCCUCAGUCUAAUUGGCACUUACUGCUAACUCAUCCAACAUAGACUUCUUCAUGUCCUCUAACACUUUUUUUUUCCAAAACGCACUUUGGAGGACAUUUGUUCUACAAUAAUGACCCAACGUCGUGCACAAGCAUGGCGUGCGACUCAUCUGGAGCAUAAAGUAACCUAAUGGAUGAAUUUUGAUACUUUGUUUUACAGUAAUUACCCUAAUCUUAGUAUUAAUUUAUUGGUUUCUUUUGGUGAAUUUUAAUACUUUGAAUUAUAUUUCUAAUAUAGUACAUUCGAAUUCAUCUAGAGCAUAAGGUAAUGAAAUGGAUGAAUUUUAGAGUGAUUCCAAUUGGAGGAUGCUCAUGUUCUAGAUGAUUGUAUCAAAGUUCAGAUUUUUCUACCGAGCCAUUGACCAUGGCAAUGAAAUAAAGGCUCAGCACGCAGGUUUCCCAAAUUGUCGUUUUUGGGCAUUUUGGAGAUCAAGAUGGCAUAUUUUCAGGAAGAUUCCUUCUGAGGAUUUGUAGGGGAUAUUCAAGUUUCAAAUAGACCUUUUGGGACCAAGUUAGAGUUGAUUUGGUCGGUCAGAAGUCUAAUUUUAUGAGAAGUCUGAAUUUCAAUUCACAUAGGAAACUUUUUAUUUACUAGUUUAUUAUUUUAUUAUGUUUCCAAGUUUUAUUCUAAGACCUUUUCUAGGUGGGUUUUAUUUUAAAGUAGUAUAAACAAGGCUAUUUAGCCAUUAGGAAAAACGCAUUAGUUUAGAGAAUUCGGUUUAGAGAGCUUUUUAUGAUUCAAGUUUAUUUUCAAGGUGUUUUCUAUCCUUUUUCUAUCUCAAUAAAAUUCCUUUUGUUUUAUGGUUGUUCGUAACUAAUUUCCGUUUGCUAUGGCUAGGCCACAAGCCUUAGCAUGAAUAUGUUGUCUUUAUUUAAUUGCUUAUGAUAUUCUGCAUGCAUAUUUUGAAUUAUUAAUCACUGUGUUUAAAUUGUUACUAUAUUAGGCCUGACAAUUUUUAACACGACCUGUUAACCCGACACGACAAGACACGAAAUUAACAGUUUUUCAAGUCAACAUGAUAACGAAUCGGGUAACCCGAUAAACACCUGUUAAAUAACUGGUCGGUCUAGGUAUACUGUAUACACGUGGACAACUCGUUACACAAUAAUAAAAAUAUUAAUUAAAUAAUUUUAUAGCACUAAAAGCAAAUACUAUAAUUAAACAUUAGAAUUUAAUGCCGAACUGAACUAAAAGUUAAAAUAUAAAUAUGUGUGUGUGUGUGUAUUUUUUUCAAAUAAUAAAAAAAGGAAAAUUGAUGACCGUUGGAUUGGCAGAGAUUUAAUCUCGGCCGUCGAAUGUUUCUCUCAAUCCUAAAUCAGACUCUCUUUCAUUAUCGAAGGCUCAAAUCGAAGUAGUUGCUUUCUUUCUCGAACUGAACUCUUGAAUCUCAGUCUCGGACCUCAACUCCGGCCAGCCAUGAUUCCAUGACCACCCUCUCUAGUCUCCCUCCACCACACCACUGUCACCACAUACAACCUAGUAACCCACCACUAGUCGAUCUACUACUUUUGUCUCUGAUUCUCUUUGGAUCGAGCGAAUCUCGAGCCCUAAUCAAGGUAAUGGUUGAUUCUUUCGAAUUAGUUUCAAACUAUAGGGUUUUGCUUUGAAUUAGUUUUCAAAUUAAGAUUGGUUUCAUUUCUUCAAUUUGGGGUUUUUCGUUUCUACGGCUUGUGAAAAUUGGGGUUUAUCGGUACGAAUAAGUUUUUGAAGUAAUAUUUUUCUUAACGAGUCAGGUCAUUUUACUUGUUGGAUAAAAUGAUCCAACCUGUUAAGAUAAUGGGUGUGACAUGACAUGACCUGUUAAGAUAACAGGUGUUACACGAAAAUGACACGAACACGGCAAACACGCCCCGUUUGCCAAGCCUACUUUAUAUCCUACUUUAUAUCUUAAUACUUAGCUACUAUUAGGAUGUUUAGAUACGUAAACAGAUGCAAUUUGGUUGGAAAAUCAACAUAGGAUUAAGUAUUGCUACUUGUGGUUAAUAAUUCUAAUUUCACCUAAGGCGAAUGUCACACUUUUAGGGGUUGCAUGGUUUUUCGAAGGUUUUUCACAUAACUUAGUGAGUCUUGUAUGUUCAUAUUUGAUCUGAAUAUCACAAACAGGUUGCAUGUUAGAUAUACGUUCUUGCUUGAAUAUCACGAGGAGAAUAUGCAUUAGGAAAACCUAACUUACAAAGUUGCAUGUCUAAUUCAUAAGUAAUUGAUAAAGUUACAUAGGAUUGUUAGGGUGACGGUGGAACCCUGGUGCUUUCACAACUUUAAUUUUCAAAGCCGUUUUCUUUUGUUUUCUUUAUUUUACCAAUUUAUUUAAUUGAAUUUAUUUAAAAUUCGUUUUUAAUAUUUUAGGUCACAAAAUCAACAUUUUCCAAACCUUGUUUUAAAUAGUUAAUUAAGAAUUAGUUUAAAUACAAAUUAUUCAUUCAAUCCCUGUGGAAAACAACUUUACUUGAGCUGCUAUACUCCGAUAACCUUGUACUCUUGCAAGUAUUUUUUAGUGUUUUUAUCCCUAGAGUACAAGGUUAUCGUAGUAUGGCCGUACAAGUAAGAUCAUUUUCCACAAGGAUUGAAUGAAUAAUUUGUAUUUAAACUGAUUUUUAAUUAACUAUUUAAAACAAGGUUUGGGAAAUGUUGGUUUUGUGACCUAAAAUAUUAAUUUUUUUAAAUAAAUUGGUAAAAUAAAGAAAACAAAAGAAAAUGGUUUUGAAAAUUAAAGUUAUGAAAGCACUAGGGUUACACUGUCACCAUAACAACCCUAUGUAACUUUACCAAUUACUUAUGAAUUACACAUGCAACUUUGAAGGUUAGGUUUUUCCUAAUGCAUAUUCUUCUCGUGAUAUUUAAGCAAGAAUGUACAUUGACGGAGCCAGGACUUUACAAUGACGAGGUCAAGAGUAUACUGUUGUGGCUUAUGCUAUAGAUUUUGUGUUCAGAAUCACAAGCUGCUGGCUGAUUCGACGACCUAGACAUGGGAGGUCUAAAACGCAGGUCUGAUGAUUUGGAAACAGCUAGGUGGUAGAUUUGUGGGCAUGGGUGAAGAAGAGGCACUGAGAGGGAGAAAGAGCUGUUGGUGAUGUAUACAGAGAUGGACGAUGGGUUUAUUGUGCUAAAAACAACACCAUAACCAAUUGGAAACGAACUCAAGCAAACCUACAUGAAAUAUAACAAAUAAAAUUCAAAAAAAAAAAAAAAAACAUAAAAGACUCGAAAAUUUUAAUGAGGUUUCUCCAUAGUUAGUGUAACUCAAAACUAGUACAACAACUACAACUUUGAUGGAGUGGUGGCUAGGGCUGGGUUCGGUUGGCAAAUCGUGCCAAAUUCCUUAUGCCACAUUCCAACCACAUAUACAUAAUUAUUGAAAAUUAGAUACCGCUAGCCAACCAUCUUCUUGAGGUUGCCAAAAAUCGGUUCAGCCAAAAUUAUUGGUUGGUUCGGUUGGUAAAUGGCACAACUAAUGGUUUGUAAAUAAGCUACAAAAACAAUAGCUCAGGACCAUGCACCGACCUGUAAACAACAAACCAGAAAAGAGAAAAAGAAGUUGCUGCUGCAAUUUUUCAAUUGAUGAUAAGCCAACAUAAUCAUGACUUAACAAAUUAAAAUGAAAAUCAAAUCAAAACUUAAUAAGCCAACAACAAUGUCAUCAAACAUAAUCCAAAUAGUUAUAAGUUCACAAACUGAAAAGUUUAACUAGUAUAAUUGUCAAAGUUCAAUUGUAGCAACUAAUGCAUAAAACAAAAAAAUUCAAAACUCAAAAGUAUGGUUCUGGUUAUAAGAUCCCCUUAUUAUAAUCCCAAAACAAAUAACUUGUUGUUUUGAUAAUGCAACAUCAUUGAAGUAACAUCAACCAAUGCAUGUGAAAUGUUCCAUGAAUCAAUUCUUCGAAGCACUUCGAAUUGAUGUUCCUGCUUAAGAUGUAGAACCAUCAACUAUUUCAAUUCAAAUUUUACAUAAAAAAAAGUAUGAUUAGAAUAAGAGGUAAUAUUGAAUAAUAAAUUAAAAAUAUCAAUAAAUAUUGGAUUGAAGUACUAUAAUUAGAAUUAGAAAAAAUAUAGCAAUACUUAGAUUUUUCCAGUUCUUCACAUGUCAAGCAUGUAAAAAAUACCUAAAUUAUCUAAAUAGAAUAUAUAUAUAUAUAUUGGUAGGUAUGGCAUACUGCCGGUAUAUAAAAUCCAAUACCAAAGCCAUACCAUUAAUUGUUGGUUCGGUAUAAUGCCAACCGAUUAUGAAAAAAUGCCAAAACUAUACCAUACCAUUAUGAACCAAUGUGUAUGGUUCGAUCGGUAAAUUGGUUUAUGGAAAAAUUUCCCACCCCUAGUGAUGGCUAACAAAUGGAGCAGCAUCUCCUUUUUCUUGUUUGGGGCUUUCGACACUGAAAAGGCUCUAGCCUUUCAAUUUUUCUUUGCCUUUUACUGUUAGCCGAAAAGAGCCUACAAUUUGGCCACAAGGUUAUUGGGGUCAAGGAAUCCCAUUGCACCGACCUUGGCUCCACUAUGAGAACGUAUAUCUAACAUGCAACCCGUCUGUGAUAUUCAGAUCAAAUAUGAACAUGCAAGACUCAUUAAGAUGUGAAAACCCUUUGAAAAACCAUGCAACCUCUAAGAGCGUGAUAUUCACUUUAGGUGAAAUGACAAUUAUUAACCAUAAGAAGCAAUAGUAAAUCCUCCGGUGAUAUUUCGACCGAAUUGCAUAUGUUUACUUAUUUAAACAUCCUAAUGGUAGAUAAGCAUUAAGACAUAGAGAUAAUUUAAACACAGUGAUUAAUAAUUCAAAGUAUGCAUGUAUAAUAUCAUAAACAAUUGAACAAAGACUACAUAUUCAUGCUAAGGCUCAUGGCCUUUCCCUAGCGAACGGAAAUUAGUUACGAACAACCAUAAACAAAAGGAAUUUUAUUAAAAUCGAAAAAUUAGGGAUAAAAACACUAGAAAAUAUUUGCAAGAGUACAAUGUUAUAGUAGUAUAGCAGCUCAAGCAAAGUCGUUUUCCACAGGGAUUGAAUGAAUAAUUUGUAUUUAAACUAAUUCUUAAUUAACUAUUUAAAACAAGGUUUGAAAAAUGUUAUUUUUGUGACCUAAAAUAUUAAAAACGAAUUUUAAAUAAAAAUAAUUCAAUAAAUUGGUAAAAUAAAGGAAACAAAAGAAAACAAUUUUGAAAAUUAAAGUUGAGAAACACUAGGGUUCUGUCGUCACCUUAACAAUUCUAUGUAACUUUAUCAAUUACUUAUAAAUUACACAUACAACUUUGAAGGUUAGGUUUUCCUAAUGCAUAUUCACCUCAUGAUUUCAAGCAAGAAUGUAUAUCUAACAUGCAACCCGUUUGUGAUAUUCAUAUCAAAUAUGAACAUGCAAGGCUUAUUAAGUUAUGUAAAAACCCUUUGAAAAACCAUGCAAUCCCUAAGAGCAUGAUAAUUCUCCUUAGGUGAAAUAACAAUUAUUAACCACAAGAAGCAAUACUUUAUCCUCCGGUGAUAUUCCGACCGACUUGCAUCCGAUUACUUAUCUAAACAUCCUAAUGGUAGCUAAGCAUUAAGAUAUAGAGACAGUUUAAACACAAUGAUUAAUAAUUCAAAGUAUGCAUGCAGAAUAUCAUAAGCAAUUGAAUAAAGACUACAUAUUCAUGCUAAGGUUAGUGGCCUCGCCUUAACAAACGGAAAUUAGUUACGAACAACCAUAAAACAAAAGGAAUGUUAUUGAAAUAGAAAAAAAGAUAGAAAAUACCUUAAAAAUAAACUUGAAUCGUCAAAAGCUCUCUAAAUUGAUAUGUUUUCCCUAAUGGCUAAAUAGCCUUGUUUAUACCAAUGCUUGGUCGUUCAAGUGGUAAGGAGCUUGUUCUCCUUAAGUAAGGUCUCGAGUUCGAGCAUUGUGAAUGAAGAAGCCAACACUGGGAGAGCUUGCCCCUCGAUUAGAGUUCGACCCAGCUCAACGGACUAGUCCUCGCCUACUGCGGGGGAUACCUUGGAUUCAUCCAAAAAAAAAAAAAGCCUUGUUUAUACUACUACAAAAUAAUACCCUACCUAGAAAAGGUCUUAGAAUAAACCUAGGAAACAUAAUAAAUAAUAAACUAGCAAAUAAAAGGUUUCCUAAUUGAACUGAAAUUCGGACUUCUCAGAAAAUCAGACUUUUGACUGACCAAAUCAACUCUGAUUUGGUCCCAAAAGGUCUCUUUUGAAAGAUGAAGACGUCCCUAGAAAUCCUCAGAACAAAUCUUCCUUAAAAUAUGUCAUCUUGACCUCCAAAAUGCCCAAAACAUCCAAAAACGACAAUUUGGGAAAGCUACGGGUUGGACCUUUGUUUCAUUGCCACAGUCAAACAACUUAGUAGAAAAAUAUGAAACUUUAAAACAAUCAUUUUUUGAUUACUUUAUGCUUAAGAGGAAGUCAAAUGUGCUACAUUAGAAAUAUAAUUCAAAGCAUCAAAAUUCACCCAAAAAAACCAAUAAAUUAAUACUAAGAUUAUGAUAAAAUAUAGUAAAAUAUCAACUCAUCAUCUCACUGGCCAUUUCAGAGACCUUUGCGCAACGAAAUGUUCGAUAGCUCAAGAUUUUUGUGCAAAUUGGGCGUUGGGCGAGAUGUUGGUGCCAAGUCUCCAUCUUGCCACUUUUUUCUUAGACAUUGCACGCCGAAUCGUUACUUUUCUCGUGCAAAGGCUUUGCGCGACGAAACUCUUCGUUGCAUUAUGUUUUUUAUUUUUUAUGGUCAUGACAUUUUCGUGCAAUGAUACCCUCCCUUGCGCAACGAAAUUUGGUGCGCCUUGUAAAGUUUGAUCGAUUAAAUAGUUUUUUCUACUAGUGGCUCCAACAAGCAUUCGUUACAGGCUAGGUCCAUGCAUAAAUGUUAUCUCAUGCAAAAGACAAAAAGGCCUAAGAUAUGAUUUUUCGUAACUAGGUCUUUCGAAAUCUCUAGUCCAAAUUGUUGGUUCAUUUGGUAGUGGUGCUUAUGAGUCGGGAUGGCAACUAGGUAUUUCGAGCUCGAACUACAUUUUCGAACUCUUCGAGCUCUAAUGGAAACGAGGUAGUAAUUAUGUUCAAAAUUAUGAAAAUAACAAUAAACUAGAAUAACUUACCACAAUAAUUUUGUUGUAUGUUCUAGCAGUGAGGUUAGUUGAAUAUCAGAGUGCGACAAACAAGAGUAUACACUAAUAAAGAAUAAUAUUAAACAAACGAGAAUGCUGAAACGGUUACAGAAUCGCAAAAGGCUCCAUCUUGACUAACUUAACUUCAUACUAAACUAUAAGCUAUAUUUAUAGAGAGUAAAACCUAGAAACCCUAAUUCGGGCGGGCUAGAUCCAUAUACUAAACUAACAAGCAAACCCAAAUAAUCAUAAAAUACUAAUAGUUUCCAACACCCCAUCAAACUCAUGGCGAUAUACGACAUUGAUUUCGAAACAUGCAGAUGCGAACUGGCUCUGUUAGGCGGACUGGUAGGCAUGCAAACUUGACUGGCAUUGACUUGACUAGUGAAUGGAGAACUAGCGAACUGAGAUGGCAGCAAACGAUCUAAUUAUAGAAAAUGAUUCAAUUUAUAACUAGGUAUACAACAUCACUCGAGUGGUCGCAAGUCCAAGCACUCGAGUGAUCGUUGCGAAGAAAAACGGCAGAUACCCAAACUAUGUGGGCCUUCAAAACAAGGUCCAUCAUUUUUGCAUUCUUACUUACCCGUGUGGGCCUCUCAAAACAAACAGCCGAAUAUUUAGGUUCCUUUUUCUUUUCAUUUUUUUUUCUCUUCCCUUGCGUUUAUUUAUUUUAUUUUUCUUUUUUUUCUCUUCCUUUUUUUUUUCUUACUUCCAUUUUAGGAGGUUUGGUCUUCUUCAUACUUGCAAAACAAGCACAGUAGACCUGGUGGUCGGCGGUGGGUUUGAUGCGGGUAUAUCAGAUAGUCAGUGAUGCAGGCUUACAGGACUUCAAGUGGAGACGAACUCGAUUCGAGUGGUUCUCGGAUCUGGGCUUCAUUAGGGACGAAUACGGACGGCGGGAUGAUGCAGAAGGUCGGUGAGGCGGGGAGAGUGUAGUGGGCAGCGACUCGAUCGUGGUUUGGAGCAGGGGAUUUCUGGGUUUCCAGAAACAAACUUCAACGAUGAUGGUGUAACUUGUGGUUCCGAUGCAGAUUCAGCAUAGUAGGCUAGCUAGCGGCGAGACUCCAGUUUUUCUUUUACCGACUCUUUUUUUUUUUUUUUUUUUUUUUUUUUCAAACUACCCACGAAUAAAUAGUCUAAACCCUAAUCAAGACAAAAUCCCAGAACAAAACCAAAAUAUUUUUGCACAAACCUAAACGAGACAGACAACCAGUGAUAUCAAACAAGACUACACACUAAUAAAGAAUAUUCUUAAACAAAUGAGAAUGUCAAAACAGCUACAAAACUGCAAGAUGUUACAUCUUGAUUAAUUUAGGAGAUGUAUUCAAUUGAGAAUUUGAGAGACUUUAAUUGAUUUAUAAAUUCAUGAAUUUUUAUGGAGUUGAAUUGAUUUGUAGAGAUUCCAUAUAAAAUUUUGAUUCAAUUCCCUUAAAAUUUCAUGGGGAGAGUGAGAUUUGUGGAUGCUUAAAAUACACUACGAAAUCUCUCAGAUUCCCUUUAUUCCUCAACUUUCUAAAAUUUUUAAAAUCAAUUUCUAAUUGAAUACAUAUAAAACGUUAUAAACUUCUUUAAAAUCUUAAUUAAAUACAUCCUGAUUUCUAAGGUUUUUAAUAAACUAUUUUAAAAUUCUAAUUGAAUACACCUUAAAUUUCAGAGAAUCACUUAAAAUCCUGAUUGAAUACCCCUAGAUUCAUUAAAAGAAUUAAAAUCCCUCCAAUUCCCCAUUAAAUUCACCCCCUUUAACUUUGUAUUAAACUAUAAGCUAUAUUAUAAAGAGCAAAACCUAAAAACCCUAAUUUGGAUGAGUUACAUCGAUAAACUAAACUAACAAGCAAACCCAAAUAAUCAUAAAAUACUAAGAUUUUCUAGGGAAAUUGGGAAAAAUAAUCAAAAUUUAGACCUUGUAUAGAAUAAUAGCCACCCUUUAAAUUUAUGAUAAUUAUAACAAAAAUUUAAUAUAAAAUUACUAAUAUACCCUUAAUAACUAAAAACUAGCAUCUUCUCCCCUUGUCUCUCUCUCACUAUGCCAACCUCUCUUUCUAAAACCAGAACCACUUUCUCGCUGAUUAGAAAUUUUCUUCUGGUUCUUGGUUUACAGAUUCUCUUGGCUUCUGUUUGGUUGGUGGGAAAGGUAAGGAAAUGAAAAAGAUAUUGAAUUUUCGAUGGUUUUAAUUGAAAUUUGAAUGCUUGUGUUUGCAAGCUAGGACUGAAAAAAUUAUGCUGAAUAUGAUCUUGGUAGUUUUGUGGCGUACAAUUUGAUCUUGUUAUUGUAAUUCUGCUGAGUUAAAAUUUGUUGAAUUGUUUUCUGAAAAAUACUUGCAUGAUCAAACCUGGGUUUGAACAAAUGAUUGGUUUCACUUGACAGGACAUCAUCGUGGACAAAUGAUUGAUCUAUCAUAAUCUCCUGAAUAUCUGAUUGCUUUCAUACCAAUAUAUGGGACUUUUAUCUAAUUGAUCUAUCAUGUUUACAUUAUGUUGACAGCAUCUUGGGCAAUUUCAGCUCGCAAUUCCAGUGAGUUACUGGACAUUCUACUGUCGAAUUAAGUUUGCAGAUUUUGGAGGAUGAUCUCUUAGAGGUAAGAGGAGAAGCUCUGGCCUGCAGUUCCUUUAUAUGAGGAAGUUUUUAUUUAUUAAGGAUAUAUUAGUAAGUUUAUAUCAACUUUUGGUUAUAAUUAUCAUAAAAUUAAAAAAAUGACUAUAAUUCUAUACAAGGUCUAAAUUUUGGUUAUUUUUCCAAAAUCUUAAUUUUCCAACAGGUCGCAAUUAAUUAAACUGAAGAUAACAUGUCAAAUAUUGGGGGAAAACAAAGGUAGCUAGGAUGACAACUCAACUGUAUAAGCUAGGUUAACUAAAACUUGCACGUAAGGUAAAUGUCUAUAGGCUCCUAAAUAACUAGAAAUUAAUGAUUCACCCUGCAACUCUCUCUCUCUUCUGGUGCGGGUUGACUGUUGGAUAUAUAAUUUGCACAUACCGCACGAUGAUACACAUUGCCUUGGAUUUUCAACCCUAUGUGGUGCAAUUGUUGCUAAAUUCAGAUGAGAUGGGCCACAGAAUUUAAGGUUAUUUCCUUCCUUUCCCCAAUGAUAUACACAGUCCAUACAGCACAUAGUUAUGACCCCCUCAACAAUGGUUCCUUUCAUUCAACUGCAAUAUUCUCCAGCCACCCCUCUAUACUCCUCUCUCUCUCUCUCUCUCUCUCUCUCUCUCUCUCUCUCUCAUGAUACCAUGCAUAUAUUUCAUGCUAUGGUCUCAUUAUAAAAACCUUGAUCUUUAGUCAAUUACAUGCAGCGUUCUAUUACACUUUUAAUAAUCACUCUUAUAAAAUGGAGCCCUUUGAAAUUUCUUCGAGCUCCUCCCCCUUAUUUUCUUCAAACCAUAAUUUAGAGACCCUCAAUCUUUUUCCUAGUGAGAUCCCAAAUGCUAAUCUUGAGCCUCUACCAUUGAUAAGCUGCCUACUUCGUUCUCCUGACCAAGUGCCAAAUUCCCAAGAUGAAAACCAUAAAGCAAUAUGCAAUGAAGAUCAUAAAGAGGAUGAAGUCACUGUGGCCUUGCACAUCGGUCUUCCAGAUUAUUCGGAUGGCUCUAUGAGUUAUUUGACUGAUUGGAAAGAUGACGAAGAUAAUGUGACAGCACAAAAAUAUUGGAUUCCAACUCCAGAACGAAUACUCAUUGGCUUCACACAUUUUUCUUGCCAUGUCUGCUUCAAAACGUUUAAACAUUACAAUAAUCUGCAGGUAUAUAACCAUUGUUUUGUUUCAAUACAUAAUUGAUCUCGUUCAAAGUUUUGGUACAAUCCGACUAGAAAUCAUCUUUGGUACAAAUUUUCUCUUAUAUGCAUAUGAAAAUGGUGAAAGGUAUAGAAAAGCGAAGCAAGAGGCGAAGAAAGCUGUCAGAGAAGCUAAGUUAGCGGCUUACGACGAUAUGUAUAAACGACUAGAUACCAAAGAAGGAGAGUUGGAUAUCUAUAAACUAGCUAGAGCAAGGGAAAAGAAGACAAGGGACCUAAACCAAGUGAGGUGCAUCAAGGAUGAGGAUGGAAAGGUUCUUGCUACAGAGAAUGCGGUUAAGACAGAUGGAGAGGUUAUUUUCAUAAUCUUUUCAAUGAAGGACAUGAAAGGAGUGCUUCUUAAGGGGAGUUGAGUAACUCAGAAGAGUGUAGAAACUACUCUUUUUAUCGUCGAAUCCGGAAGGAAGAAGUGGUUGUAGCUUUGAAGAAGAUGAAGCAUAGAAAAGCAGUAGGCCCAGACGAUAUACCAAUCGAAGUGUGGAAAGUUUUGGGAGAGACAGGUAUAACAUGGCUCACUGACCUUUUCAAUAGGAUUUUGAAAACGAAGAAGAUGCCAAAUGAGUGGCGAACGAGCACUUUGGUGCCUAUCUACAAGAAUAAGGGCGACGUACAAAAUUGCAUGAACUAUAGGGGUAUUAAGCUAAUGAGUCAUACAAUGAAGCUCUGGGAGAGAGUCAUCGAGCAUAGAUUGAGGCAAGAGACACGGGUUUCGGACAACCAAUUCGGGUUCAUGCCAGGGUGCUCAACCAUGGAGGCAAUCUAUCUCUUACGAAGAUUGAUGGAAAGAUAUAGAGAUGGGAAAAAGGAUUUACACAUGGUCUUUAUAGAUUUGGAAAAAGCGUAUGAUAGGGUCCCAAGAGACAUUCUUUGGAGGAUUUUAGAGAAGAAAGGAGUACGAGUAGCAUAUAUCCAAGCUAUAAAGGAUAUGUAUGAAGGAGCAAAGACUGCCGUAAGAACUCAUGAAGGACAAACCGAAAGCUUUCCCAUAACUGUAGGAUUACAUCAAGGCUCAUCCUUAAGUCCUUACCUUUUUGCGUUGGUAAUGGAUGAGUUAACAGGACAUAUUCAAGAUGAUAUUCCUUGGUGUAUGCUUUUCGCAGACGAUAUAGUGUUGAUAGAUGAAACUCAGGAAGGGGUAAAUGCAAAGCUUAACCUUUGGAGAGAAGUGUUGGAAUCUAAAGGUCUUCGCCGAAGCCGAUCAAAGACAGAAUAUAUGGAGUGCAAGUUCAGUGCAAAUGGAGGCCAAAACGAGUUAGGGGUGAGGAUCGGAGAUCAAGAAAUACCAAAGAGCGACCGUUUUCGUUACCUAGGAUCUAUCUUGCAAAAGAACGGAGAAUUAGAUGGAGAUCUCAACCAUAGAAUACAAGCUGGAUGGAUGAAGUGGAAGAGUGCAUCUGGCGUGUUGUGUGACCGCCGUAUGCCACUGAAGCUCAAGGGAAAAUUUUAUAGGACGGCAAUAAGGCCGGCGAUGCUGUAUGGCACAGAAUGUUGGGUGGUGAAGCAUCAACACGUACACAAAAUGGGUGUAGCGGAGAUGAGGAUGCUUCGUUGGAUGUGUGGGCACACGAGAAAGGAUAAGAUUAGGAAUGAGGAUAUCCGGGGUAAAGUAGGAGUAGCCGAAAUUGAAGGAAAGAUGAGAGAAAAUUGGUUACGGUGGUUUGGACAUGUGCAAAGAAGGCCUACUGACGCUCCGAUUAGAAGAUGCGACUAUGGGACAGAGGUUCAGGGCCGAAGGGGUAGAGGAAGACCUAGGAAAACUUUGGAAGAAACUCUAAGAAAAGACUUAGAGUACUUGGAUCUAACGAAGGACAUGACACAGGACCGAGCACAAUGGCGUUCUAAGAUUCAUAUAGCCGAUCCCACUCAGUGACUUGGAUUUUCCAAGUCUCCAACCGAGAAGUUUUCCUCACUCGGAAAAUUAAGAGAACACUACCCCAACCUACAUGCUCCACUCAGAAAGCUUCAACAUACAAGCUUCAACAAAAGAAAAUUCAAAGAACUUAGCGAAGAAGGCUUUGGUGUAUUUAACACAAUACGUUGAAAUGAAGAAAAGCUUAUUUAUUGAUAUCCCCGAUAAGCUACAAAUGUGUACAUAUACAUGAGUCAAAAUAAACAAACAAGAUGGAGCCUUCACAAAGGUUGCUUAGGAGAAGUCUCAGCAGUCGGUACAGCCUCAGAAAGAGAAGGCAUCGGAGGGGGAUCAUUCGGAGCCUCAGUACUGGACAGAACCCUAGAAGGAGGAGGCAUCAGAGGUUGAUCAUUUGGAGCUUCAUUACGCGGUACAGCCCCAGAAGACGAAGGCAAUAAAUGCCUUUGGAACAAACCCACAAAUCUCUGAUGAUCAAGUAAAACCUGACCAUCAGUUUCCUUCAUCUGGUCAAGCUUCCUCUUCAUGUUUGUAGCAUAGUCAUGUGCGAGCCGGUGCAACUGUUUAUUCUCAUGCUUGAGCCCUCUAAUCUCCUGUUUGAGACUCAUCACUUCGGCCGCCAAUGAUUCAACUUGGCGGGUUCGAGCAAAUAGGCGUUGGGCCAUAUUAGACACAGAACUUGCACACUGAACACUGAGAGCCAGCGAAUCCUUAACAGCUAACUCAUCAGACCGUUUGGAAAGUAGUCUGUUAUCUUUGGGAGUGAGAAGGUUCCUGGCCACCACCGCAGCGGUCAUAUCAUUCUUCAUCACGGAAUCCCCAACGGUAAGAGGACCAGUAGGGGAGACGAAGGAUGGGCGCCAUAUGUUGUCUGGAGAAGGCGGGGCUGCCUCUUCAACAAGGUUCAAGUCAAAACGACGGUCGGAGGGGCCAGACAUUUUCAAAGGUGUUGAAGAGAGAAGAGGUCGGACAAAUCAAGAUCUUAGAAGUGCAAGAAUGGAGCUUCUACUGGUGGAGAUUCAAGUGUGCUUUGGAACUUAAUGCUAGCCCCUAUAAAAAGCUGCACUCGACGGAGCUUCAGACAUUGAAGAGGCGCCUGCUCAGAAAUCGAAGAGGCGUUUGCUUUCUCAAAAGCUGGGCUGCUUAGAGACCACGAGGGUUGAUCGCAUAAAUCGAAGAGGUGUUUGCUUUCUCAAAAGUUGGGCUGCUCAAAGACCACGAAAGUCGAUCUCAGAAAUCGAAGAGGCGCUCGCUUUCUCAAAAGCUGGGCUCCUCAGAGACCACGAGGGCUGAUCUCAGAAAUCGAAGAGGCACCUACUUUUCCAGCCUUGUCAGCACCUGUCACACGCACACUCAGCUUUGCGGAAAUUAUGGGUAUUCUGUCGAAGACUUCUGGGGAAGUAGAAAACACAUGAAUCUUACUGUCCAAUCAUCCACUUCCCACACGCAACAAUAGCUCAUGGGUACCACAGAUAACUUUGCCAAAGUUCUCUGCCAAAGUUGAGCACGUGAAGCUUGCAGCUCCCACUACAUCGCUCUGACCAAGAAGGGUAAAAGAAUAGCAAAGAAACAGCACUAACAAAGUUUAGACCCAUAAAUUUUGAAGGUCUAGCUACCAUAUUAUUACCCACAAGGGUAAAGGAACAGUACCACUGCUGGAUAAUUGGAAAGUCCCUGUGUGUCAACCUCUGUGCCUCGUGGCAAGGUAGACUAGCAAACAUGCCCAACCUUUACUCACAUUCGAGAAAACACUCCCAAUAAGAUUGCUUGCUCCAAAAUCGAUGAGGCACCGUCCUCCGAAUCUAGAGAGCCAGACUCCCAACAUGACUACUUUCUCAAAAAUCGAAGAGAGGGUAAAGGAACAGUACCAUUACUGGAUAAUUGGAAAGUCCCUGUGUGUCAACCUCUGUGCUUCGUGGCAAGGUAGACUAGCAAACAUGCCCAACCUUUACUCACAUUCGAGAAAACACUCCCAAUAAGAUUGCUUGCUCCAAAAUCGAUGAGGCACCGUCCUCCGAAUCUCGAGAGCCAGACUCCCAACAUGACUACUUUUCUAAAAAUCGAAGAGAGGGUAAAGGAACAGUACCAUUACUGGAUAAUUGGAAAGUCCCUGUGUGUCAACCUCUGUGCUUCGUGGCAAGGUAGACUAGCAAACAUGCCCAACCUUUACUCACAUUCGAGAAAACACUCCCAACAAGAUUGCUUGCUCCAAAAUCGAAGAGGCACCGCCCUCCGAAUCUCGAGAGCCAGACUCCCAACAUGAUUACUUUCUAAAAAAUCGAAGAGACACUGCUCCCCGAAUCUCAAGAGCCAGACCCCCAGCAUGAUUGCUUUCUCAAAAAUCGAAGAGGCAUCGUUCUCCGAAUCAAUCGAAGAGGCGCUCGCUUUCUCAAAAGCUGGGCUGCUCAGAGACCACGAGGGCCGAUCUCAGAAAUCGAAGAGGCACCUACUUUUCUAGCCUUGUCAGCACCUGUCACACGCACACUCAGCUUUGCGGAAAUUAUGGGCAUUCUGUCGAAGACUUCUGGUGAAGUAGAAAGCACAUGAAUCUUACUGUUCAAUCACCCACUUCCCACACGCAACAAUAGCUCAUGGGUACCACAGAUAACUUUGCCAAAGUCUCUGCCAAAGUUGAGCACGUGAAGCUUGCAGCUCCCACUACAUCGCUCUGACCAAGAAAGGUAAAAGAAUAGCAAAGAAACAGCACUAACAAAGUUUAGACACAUAAAUUUUGAAGGUCUAGCUACCAUAUUAUUACCCACAAGGGUAAAGGCACAGUACCACUGCUGGAUAAUUGGAAAGUCCCUGUGUGUCAACCUCCGUGCUUCGUGGCAAGGUAGACUAGCAAACAUGCCCAACCUUUACUCACAUCCGAGAAAAUACUCCCAACAAGAUUGCUUACUCCAAAAUCGAAGAGGCACCGCCCUCCGAAUCUCGAGAGCCAGACUCCCAACAUGAUUACUUUCUCAAAAAUCGAAGAGACUCUGCUCCCCGAAUCUCGAGAGCCAGACCCCCAGCAUGAUUGCUUUCUCAAAAAUCGAAGAAGCAUCGUUCUCCGAAUCUCGAGAGCCAGAUACCACAUACCACUUUUUCAAAGUGCUCUGACAGAGUUAAAACAUGUGAAGCUGGCAGCCCCCACUACCGUGCUAUGACCAAGCAGGGUAAAGGAAUAACAUUACUACUUGUUGUUAGGGAGACUCCUAUAUAUGUCGACCUCCAUCCCCAACGGACAGGCAGACCUGCAAAAAUGCUCAACCCUUCCUCAUAUCUGAGAGGGCACUCCCAACGAAGCCUUUCGAAAUAUUCUGCUUUCUUUCCCCCCGAUAAUACCUCUGCAAACAAGCUAUACUAGAGCAAGAAUAUCUCAUAUCAUCAGGGUUAAAAGCAAGAGUAUCUCAUAUCAUGCUUUUUCCCUGUCUUUUCCUUUGGCCUUGUUUUUACCUGCAAGACAAGGAGAAAGAGAGCAAUCAGUCAGCACUUGAAAUCAAGCUCCCAGCCAGGAACUGACUGCCUGGAACCCCUUACCUGAUUACUUACCUGGCAUUGCUCUCGAGUACUCAUCUUCAAUAGCUUAUGUUUCCAGGGAAGAUACCGCAUCUGCUUGAGGAACAGAUAGGGCAAGUGCGAAGGAUACAAGGAAGCAUGUGGAGACAAGCGGAACAGCACACGUGCCGAUACUUCCAUUACUCUGUCAAAAGCAAAAGUAUCCCAUAUCAGCAGGGUCGAACGUACUCUAGAUUUGAUGGACUUGUUUUGACCCUCAAAUUCUUCAGUCGGCCUUAUACUCUGGAGGAAACCAGAAAAUCCUCCAGCUCAGUUCAAGAAUAAGCCUGUGGAAAGUUACUUCUUCAAAAGCAAAAGUAUCCCAUAUCAUCUCUUCUCAUUUUUCUUCUCUUUAUCCUUCAUGCUGCUGCAAGAUGGGGAGAAGGUGAACAAUCAGCCGGAGCUCUGAUUGCUUACCUUGUCUGUCAUCUCUUUCAGCAGAUUCCCUAGCUCGGCGACUUGGGGGACUCCUACUACAUGGUUUGUAUCGCGCUUGACCAAGCCUGAAACUACAAGUAAGCUUCAAGUGAAAUUGAUACAUUACCUUGUGCAUCUCCACCAGUUAAAAAUACCACCCCUGGAUGGAGGAAGAGUACUUCCAGAGAAGCUGCCACAUCUACCUAUGAGACAGAUAAGGCAAGUCAAGAUGAUACCACACUCCGAUACUUAGAAGUUUCGUGAUUACGAGAUCAUUCUCCCACAAUAUUUCCUAAUGUCAUUUGUACUCUAAUGUCAUUUGUACUAAAUCAUUCACUUGUACUCACUAAAGGAGAGCUUGAACCUAUGUACUUGUGUAAACCCUUCACAAUUAAUGAGAACUCUUCUAUUCCGUGGACGUAGCCAAUCUGGGUGAACCACGUACAUCUUGUGUUUGCUUUCCUAUCUCUAUCCAUUUAUAUACUUAUCCACACUAAUGACCGGAGCAAUCUAGCGAAGAUCACAAAAAGCGACCGUUUUCGCUACCUAGGAUCUAUCUUGCAAGAGAACGGAGAAUUAGAUGGAGAUCUCAACCAUAGAAUACGAGCUGGAUGGAUGAAGUGUAAGAGUGCAUCCGGCAUGUUGUGUGACCAUCGUAGGCCACUGAAGCUCAAGGGAAAACUUUAUAGGACGGCAAUAAGGCCAGCGAUGUUGUAUGACACAGAAUGUUGGGCGGUGAAACAUCAACACGUACACAAAAUGGGUGUAGCGGAGAUGAGGAUGCUUCGUGGGAUGUGUGGGCACACGAGAAAGGAUAAGAUUGAGAAUGAGGAUAUCCGAGGUAAAGUAGGAGUAGCCGAAAUUGAAGGAAAGAUGAGAGAAAAUCGGUUCCGGUGUUUUGGACAUGUGCAAAGAAGGCCGACUGACGCUCUGGUUCGAAGAUGUGACUACGGGACAGAGGUUCAGGGCCGAAGGGGUAGAGGAAGACCUAGGAAAACUUUGGAAGAGACUCUAAGAAAAGGCUUAGAGUACUUGGAUCUAACGGAGGACAUGACACAAAACCGAGCGCAAUGGCGUUCUAGGAUUCAUAUAGCCGACCCCACUUAGUGGGAAAAGGCUUUGUUGUUGUUGUUGUUGUAUGCAUACACGGUAUAGAACCAUUCAAGUGCACAUAUUCAUGCAGACACAUUGGUUUUUGCAUGUGUCUAUACACAGAUUUGUAAAUAUGCUACCAAAAGUUGUUUAUUUGUCUAAAAGAUGGUUACAUCUAACACAAUGGCAAUCGUUUGUGGAACAAAUUGAAGUCCCUUCCCUACUUCUUAAAUAGGUUUUGGACUCGAACUUAAUAACUUGGACUGGCCAAAUUCUCUGAUUUCAAAGCCAAAACCCCAUUCAGCCAUACUCCUUGGUUUCGAAACCUAUACUCCUUUUAGCCAAUUAAAUAAGCUUGAGUUUCCCAACGAAAACUUCGAGACAUGCAUAUCGAAGGGGCUUCAAUUUUGUUCACAAAAUUCGCAUAUGAGCUUGUAUAUAAAUAUUCUUACGUUGCUACAGAUAUUUGAUUCCAAUAUGAAGCAAUAUGUAAAUAUUACUAUGGUAGAUGUUGGAUGUAUGUUAAUAAUCUAUGAUAAAUUUAUAUGUGCUAAUAAAUAAACAGUGUAUGAUGAAUGAACUAAUAUUAAACAUAAAUAUUAAAGAUCGAGGCUUGCGUACCGCAAUGUCCUAGAAACAGAAAUUUCGCCCCUACUCAGUGCUUGUAGUUCUCCGGGCAUCUGUUUCACCAGGAUUGAACUAUCAAGUUAGAUCUGUUUCACCAGGAUUGAACUAUCAAGUUAGAAUUCCAGCACCAGAAAACUUAACUUCAGGCGAAUUUCCUUUUGGUACUCUCAGUAAGAAUGCUAUGGAUUAUAGAAGGAGAUUUAUUUUUUCUUCUUUCUAAAUGCCAUGCAGACAGAUGUAUAUAUAGUGAGAUUAUGCCUGUUCGCAACAUGUAUAAGAAUGAGAUGUGACUGUUGGGAGACAUCUCUUCAGAUGGGGUGCAGUGCUCUCUGUGUUUUUUAUUAACUUCAUUAAUGCCCAAGAGCCCUAAGGCCCGUCUUUUGAUAAGUAAUUAAUUAUAUAUAUAUAUAUAUUAAUUAUAAUUAAUUAUAUAUUAAUUAUCAAUUAAUUAGUGCACCCUAAAGCCCAACUCCAAGGGUGAAUCCAAUUUCUUUAUAUAAAUGACAAAGCUUUAUAAAGUGAUAAAAUCUUUUGGGAAUAACCAAUGUGGGACAAAAAAAUUUCUACUCAAACAACUUAAAUUUCCAACAGUAGAUGCACAUGUGGGGGCAUGGAUCACAAUAUCGUAGGGGGCCAGAGUCACUAAAGGGAACACAAACCGUGAGCCAUGUUAGGCAUCCCAUGCUAUUGUUGUGCUGAAGGAUGCAAGAACAGCAUCGACCACCCAAGAGCAAAACCCCUAAAAGAUUUCCAGACCCUUCAAACGCACUACAAGAGGAAGCAUGGAAUGAAACCUUUUAUGUGUCGCAAGUGUGGCAAGUUGUUGGCGGUGAAAGGUGACUGGAGAACACAUGAGAAGAAUUGUGGCAAGCGCUGGCUUUGUGUAUGCGGUUUGGAUUUCAAGCAGAAGAGAUCACUCAAAGACCAUAUCAAGGCGGCUCUGGUCACACUCCUUUUCCACCUAAUUCUUUUGACGAACUCAGGGAGCUUGAUGAGGACACUAGUCACCUACCACCUCCUUGUUUAAAGGAUUGUCAAGUGAUGAUGCAGCCUCUUGAUGAUCAGCUAUAUGUAUAUAAGGCUAAUUGAUGUUUGAGGCACGAAACUUUAUGUACUCCCCCCUUAAACUUCAUGGCUAUGAUUUGAACUGAGAAUUUCUAUAAGUCUGAUAUCAACCUUCGCUUUUUAGUGCAACACAGAUAUUAGUCCAAACACAAAUUAUACUCGUAAGUGCACAAUAUUAAUGGUAGUAGUAUGACGCACAAGGUGAUUAUUGCCACUGAUAUUGGGAUUUUAACUUCAAAUUUAACUCUCAACCAGUUUCCCAAAAAAACAAAAAAAAAAAAACUCUUAACCUAAUUUAAUUACCUUUCAAACCACUUUUAAUUUAGACGAACUAGUACAUUAAACACGGAAGUACUGGAAGCACAAAAAGGGAUAUUAUAUUUGAUGUUUCUAACAAACUAGAAGUGAAAAUUGAAAAGGAAGCGAUAAAGUGAUAUGCAAGAAAACUUAUUAAUUAUGAAGAAGAUAAGUUGAUGAUUAACCUAAGGAUAAUGUACCACCUAUGACAAUAUUAUUAUGUUAAUAUUAAAGUGUUAAUAUUAAAGGUUGUUCGUCUAACUUAUGAAUAAAUGAUGUCAUGUCAAAGCAUACAAUACAAGAACUCAUCAAGAAAGAUGAAUUAAAUCAACCAAGUAGCAUUUGUAUAUUGGUAUGCCUACCUAGCUAUCUACUCUACUUAACCUUAGUUCCAAUAUACCUACUAGAUCGGUCGCCUUGCGUAGAUCCAUCUAAAUAUUUAGAUCCAAAAUUCUAAGUGUGAUUAGUCAAUAUUAAAAUUCAAACAUGAAUCACUGUUCAUAAGUACAGUGGAGUACGAUUUUUCUCCUCAUUUUGCUUUCACUCAUUCGCUCUUGUUCUUCGUUCUUCGCUCUUCUCUCUGCGAUACCUAAAAACUCUCAAACCUCAAACCAACCAAAACCAAACCCUCUCUUCAAACUCUUCCUUCUCCCUUCUCUAUAGCUCUUCUCUCCGGGAUUGACAAAAAACACAGUGGCGACCAACGACUAGCGACCAGUUUGAUGAUUCAGGCAACAAAAUGCCUCUAGGUUGGUCUCAAACAACUACUGAUCACCUUAGCUACCUUCUACACCUAUUGCAUGUAAAGAUAUGCUCCAAAUAUGUGAUAUGCAGUUCAAACCCUAACUGCUCCGUUUUUCGCCUAAUUUAAAGAGAACUGGCCAACUCAAUUUCGGCUAGAUUCCGUCAAUGUAGGUGAGUUGGUAAUGUCAGUUUCACUAGAAGACAAACCCACAUCUACAACAAUAGAUGUCUGUGAUAAAUUGCAAUCUAUCAUGGACAUUGUGCCCAUUAAGAAUCUAGACAUGAUAAAAAGUUACUAUGGUCAAAGUGCAUUGUCAAUUAGACAAUAAUCACAGGCCUAACCCAUGGUAGAUUGGAAUCGAACACCAUGCGCUAAAUAAAUUUUACUGAAAAUAUGAUUUUAGCCCUUGAAACUUAAGUUUCUUUACAUAAAACCCGACAUAGUCUUUUUACUUGAAUAAAACCCAAUGACUAGGCUCCACAUAAGCAAAUUCAUUAAUUCUGUUUGGCUUUACACAUUUUGCAUUUUUCAGAUGCCUAAAAUACCCAUAAUUACAAUUUUAAUGUAUACAUUUAAUUCUAUGCAAAUUUGAAGGGAGGGAUUAAUGAAAAAAAAAAUGUAUUAAUGUUUAAAUUCAUUGCAUAUUAAUAUAUCAUAACAAAUUGUAUGUUAAUGCUUCUGGAAAAAAAAAAACAUUAAUGUUAUACUUUCCUUUAAAUAAAUAAAUAAAUAAAUAAAAUUUUUAAUUUAAUCUUGUCAUUUUCUUACCAAAUGGAAAUUGAAAGAGAACUAUGGCGUAAUCAGUAAUUUACAUAAAAACAUAGGUAAAUUAUUUGGACAUAUGUGUUAGUAAUAAAAUAUUCCUAGUAUAUGUAAUAAUACAUGCAAAAUAAUUUAUCUGCAAAAUAAAUAAAAAAAGUUAUUUGAUUCAAUAUUAAUUUAUCUACAUUUGAUAUAAUAAAGUAUAAUUGCACAUAUAUAUUACUCAAAUGUGCCCAAUAUAUGUAAUAAUCCAUGUAAAAUUAUUUACCUACAAAAUAAAGGUAUGUAAGUUGAUUAAAAAAAAAAAAUAUAUAUAUAUAUAUAUCUACUACUUUUUUUUUAUGAAUUUUAAUUUACCUAUUGUGACACACCCCGAUUGAGAUCAAGGCAUGUUGGCCAUCAUGUAAGAGUGACGUAGCCAUGUGCAUAGUGCGGAAGCAAUAUAGAUAAGAAAUAUAUGAAUAAUUAAAAGCCGAAUUACUAGAGUGCACUACUAAACAGGAAGUGAUAGGAGUUAGUUACAACAGUAAACACUCCUAAUCAGAGCAUAAUAAGUCUAGGUGCAGUCCAGUAGGACAAGUACUAGUUAUACAGUACCAGGAAUGUCCUACUAUUAUUUAGGUAGGUCAGAACUGUCGACGCCUUCAAGCCACCAACAACAAGCUUACUUAAAACAUGGAGGGGCGCAAAACAGAAAGCGUGAGUGGGCAAAAACAAAUGUUUUACAAAACCAUUUCAUUUAUCAACAUAACUAACCCCUCGCUGUAAAACAUGUAUAAUUGUUCCCAGAAUCAAGAUAUAAGCAUAUACAUAAAUAUAUAUGAAAUCAUAUCAAUUCAAUUCAUGUAUCACAUAAUCAUAAUCAUAUAUAUAUGCCAUGCCAAGAUAUAAUAGAGUAAGCAAUUCAGGUAAGGAUAAUUUCAUAGAAAUAUAACAUGUGAGCCGGAACCCCUAUGGUAGUCUGUACGACUGAAUUCAUAGCUCCAAAAGUCGCUCUAGCCGGAGUCACUACUAUGACCUAUACGACAAUAUACUGCACAAGAGUCGGAACCAAACAAAAGGUCUAUAUGACAAUAAUGGGUGUAAUACAAUCAUGCUCAAUACUACUCUUACAUAAUAACUGGGCGAUAAAUUGCUAGUCACCUAUGAGUCGGAACCAUAAAUAAGGUCUGUACGACAGGACUGUGCACCUAAAUUGGAUCUAAUAUGAACAUAUGGUGCGGGAGGUGACAUAAUAAACAGGCAUGUGCCAUAUCUAUGGCUAAAUCACAAUCACCCUAAGUGCAGUUUUAUGAGCUUAACAUUAAUCAAUCACGUAUUACCUCAUCGAUGAUUCACAUAACCAAAUACAACUUACCUGAGCUUACCUGAACGUCCACAUCAUCACACACACACACACACAUAUAUAUAUAUAUAUAUAUAAAGCAUCACAUACCAAUUCAUGUAUGAAUUAUAAACUUAUAUGCAUGGUAUUAUGGCAUACUAUCAUUUAAACACAUUUUUCUGGGAAAAUAUCAAGUAUAUAAUAUAUACCGAAUACCAAAAGCCCACUCAUUGGUAUGUCGAAAGGUCGUAGACCCCGAGUCACCCUUGGAUACGCUCGUCCUCGGGAUACAUCUCACCUAUAUGCGAAUUGACUAUAAAAACAUUAUUUUAAAGCACAUAGGUAAAACUAGCUAAUAACUUCUCAUACAAAGCUCAAUUUUGGUAUUUGAAUAUACCAACGUGACCUACACAACCUCACGAACAUUGUGAUAUUUUUAAAAUAAUUUUUCUGUGGCUCACGCGCCUUCACGCGCCGGGGAGGGCACGGCCUCACGUGCAUCAUCUUCAACCUCCAGACGCUAGAACAGUGUCCCCAGCGUCGGAUUCUGGGCAGAAUUGUAACUGCCUUUUUCUCGCUCGUUUUUGCACCAUUUUCCAUAAAAUUUUCACCAAAAUGCCACAAAUUACGAGAGGAAGAAGGUUAUACCUCUUUGGAGCUUCAAAUCCCUCGAAAACUUGUUGGGAAUCCUACCAAAACCGGCCACCUUCGAACCUCGUGAUCCCAACGUCAAAACCGAGCCAACGAAGCACUCCAAGCUUCGUGAGAACCUCCUAGAGCUUGCUGUGAGCUUGGAUUGUCCUAAAACAUAACCAUUUCAAAGUUCAUGAAUAGUGCUCAACUUGGAGCUUGAGUUUUCAACGUGAUAUCAGACGAGUUCUUACUCAAAAUGGGUACCUUUGAACUCGUAAUGGAACAAGGAACACAAUGGUGUGCUUCACACUCUCAAUUUGUGAAGAUUUGGCUUGGUCCAAGGUUGUCCGUACGGAGGAGAGAGAGGAGAGGGUGAGUCCGAGAGAGAGAGAGAGAGUACGGGAGAGAAGAAAGAGAAAGGGUAUGGAUGUGUGAGUGGUUCCAAAAUGCACACCAAUCAAAACUCUUUAAUCUUUUAGUUCUAAUUGGGUCCAAUUAGUUAGGGAUAUAACUAAUUGACCCAAUUUCUUAACCCAAAAUAAAAACACACACCCGAUGCUCAAGGGUAAAUUCGUCUUUUGAUAACCACGAUAAUUAUUUCUCGGGACGGGCUGUGACAAUCUACCCACCUUAUAAAAUUUCAUCCUCGAAAUUACACAUAACAAAUAUAUCCACUAAUAAUCAUAAAACAAGCGUGGGUACAUCUCUCUCAUCCGAUCCUCUGUCUUCCAAGUAGCUUCUUCCACUGAAUGAUUUCUCUAUAAUACUUUCACCAAGCUCAUGGUCUUAUUCCUUAUUUCCUUAUCCUUCCAAUCCAAAAGAAUCACUGAUUCCUCAUCAUAUUUCAAACCUGGAUUAAUUUCCAAAGGUUGAGGAGGAAUCACAUGUGAAGGAUUUGAAACAUAAUGAUGAAACAUUGAAACAUGAAAUACAUCGUGCACCCUGGACAACUCUAGAGGCAACUCAAGUCUGUAAGCAACCUCACUGACUCGCUCGGUGAUCAUAUAUGGUCUAAUGUACCUAGGACUCAACUUUCCUUUCUUCCCAAAUCUUACAACACCUUUCCAAGGUGAUAGCUUUAGAAAUACCCAAUAACCUUCAUUACACUUUCGAUCAGUGGCAUGCUUGUCUGCUAAGCUCUUUUGUCGAUCUAGGGCCAUUUUCAGGUUAGACUUAAUUACUUGAACAUUUUGAGUAGUCACAUCCACAAUCUCAGGGCCCACUACAACUCUUUCGCCAACCUCUGACCAACAUAAAGGCGUACGACAAGAUUUCCCAUAAAGUGCCUCAAAUGGUGCCAUACCAAUACUCGAAUGAUAACUGUUGUUGUAGGUGAACUCCAUCAAAUCCAAACAAUCAUGCCAACUAUCCCUAAAUUGCAGCACUGAAGAUCUCAACAUAUCCUCUAAUGUCUGAAUAGUCCUUUCAGAUUGUCCAUCUGUCUGAGGGUGAUAUGCUGUACUAUAAAGCAGUCUCGUACCAAUAGCUUCCUAGAAUGCUAUCCAGAACUUGGAAGUAAAUCUAGGGUACCAAUCCGAGAUAAUAUUAACUGCCACACCAUGGUACUUCAUAAUUUGUGAUAUAAAUAACUUAGCUAAUCGGCUUAAAGAAUAUUUCUCCUUCAUUGGAAUGAAAUGUGCUGACUUCGUAAGCCGAUCAACUACCACCCAAAUGCCAUCAUAUCCACCCUGUGUACGAGGAAGCUUGUACACAAAAUCCAUAGUAAUAUUUUCCCAUUUCCAUUGUGGAACGGGAAGUGGUUGCAUCAAUCCAAAUGGCUUUUUCCUUUUAGCUUUAACCUGCUGGCAAAUGGAACACCUAUUCACAUAUUCGGCAAUUUCUUUUUUCAUACUCGGCCAAUAAUAAAAUGGUCUAAUGGUAUGAUACAUCUUAGUGCCACCUGGGUGUAUUGCAUAUGCCGAAAUAUGUGCUUCAUCCAAAAUUUCUUUCUUUAACUCUGCAUUAUUCGGCACAUACAUUCUGCUUUCCUGCAUAAGCAUACCAUCCGAUUCUCGAAUCCUGAAAUCUUUCUUUUUGCCUUGAUUUCUUGCUUGAAUUAUUUCCUAUGUCUCCUCAUCAUUCAUCUAAGCGUCAAGUACACGAUCAAUUAAAAUUGGCCUAACUUGAAAAUUAGCAAGCAAGGCUUCUUCUCGAUGGAUCUCAAAUCUGCUAGAAAAGGAACAUGACAAUCAUAAAUGGCAUUAAGUCUGGUUGGAGUCUUCCUACUAAGUGUAUCCGCAACUGCAUUUGCACGACCAUGAUGAUACUCAAUUAUGCAAUCAUAGUCACUAAGUAACUCAAGCCACCUCCUCUGUCAAAGAUUAAGAUAUUUCUGAGUAAACAGAUACUGAAGACUCUUAUGAUCUGUGAAGAUCUUACAUUUCUCACCAUAAAGAUAAUGUCUCCAAAUCUUCAAAGCAAAUAUGAUAGCUGCCAACUCCAAAUCAUGCAUAGGGUAAUUCUUCUCAUGAGGUUUCAAUUGUCUCGAAGCAUAAGUAAUCACCCUACCAUGUUGCAUCAAUACACAACCCAAACCAUUCAGAGAAGCAUCACUAUAAACCUCAUAAUUACCGCUAUCAUCUGGAAGUGCUAGAACAGGUGCAUGAGUGAGAUAAUACUUCAACUGCUGGAAACUUUGCUCACAUUUAUUAUCCCACUCAAACUUAACAUCCUUUCGAGGUUGAUCCUUAACGAACCGUCUAUAAUAGCCUGCUAAGCCAAGAAAACUUCGUACAUCGGUGACUGUUCGAGGUUGCUCCCAAUUCUCCACAGCUGCCACUUUCUGAGAAUCUACUUGAAUGCCUUGAGUAGAAAUGACAUGUCCUAAAAAUGCCACUUGAUUCAACCAAAAUUCACAUUUGCUAAACUUAGCAUAUAGCUGGUGUUCCCUCAAAUUGCUCAACACAAACUUCAGAUUUCUAGCAUGCUCAGCCUUAGACUUAGAGUAUACCAGAAUAUCGUCAAUGAAGAUAAUAACAAGCCUGUCCAAAUAUGGCUGGAAUACUCGAUUCAUCAAAUCCAUAAAAGUUGUUGGUGCAUUAGUUAACCCGAAUGGCAUUACAAGAAACUCAUAAUGACCAUAUUGAGUCCUGAAUGCGGUUUUAGGGACAUCUUCAUUUUUAAUCUUCAACUGGUAGUAACCUGACCUCAAAUCAAUCUUAAAAAAUACACAUGCACCUCUGAGUUGAUCAAAUAAAUCAUCUAUACGAGGCAGUGGAUAACAGUUCUUAAUGGUUACCCUAUUCAAUUGCCUGUAAUCAAUGCACAGCCUCAAAGUUCCAUCUUUCUUCCUCACAAAUAAAACUGGAGUUCCCUAAGGUGAAGUACUAGGCUGAAUAAAACCUUUAUCCACUAACUCUUGCAACUGAACUUUCAAUUCCCUUAAUUCAGCAGGAGCCAUUCUAUAAUGAGUCAAGGAUAUUGGAUUCGUACCUGGAAGUAGAUCAAUAACAAACUCCACCUCUCUAUUUGGCAGCAACCCAGGCAAAUCCUCAGGGAAUACAUCCGGAAAAUAUCUAACCACACAAACAUCCUCCAUACUACUAGGAGUAUCAUCAUUUAAUACCACAUGAACCAAAUAUCCCUGACAACCUUUCGACAACAAUCUUUUGGCUUUCAUGGCAGAAAUAAUACCAUGUCUCACCCCCCACUAGGCUCUUCUACAAAUGUAACUUCAGGUAAUCCAGGACAAUGAAAUGUGAUUGUCUUUCCAUAACAGUCUAUCUUGGCACGAUUAUAGUGUAACCGAUAAGUGCCCAAAAUCACAUCAAAAUCCAUAAUAUCUAACGACAUAAGAUUAGCCGGCAUAAUAACAUCCUUUACUAUCACUGAACAUCCUGGAUAUACCUGAUCCAUAAAACAUCUAUCCCCUCUAGGCAUAGAAAAUUCUAAAUUAUAUCCUAGAGGUGUAGGAUAGGGUUUGUCACUUGAGAAAAAGUAUGAGAAAUAACAGAAUGUGUAGCACCACAAUCAAUCAAUACUCUAGCAAAAUGACCAAGAAUAUUUAACGUACCCAUGAUUAAAUCUAGAUUAUUCUGGGCAUCUUGCAAUGACAAGUUGUGGAUACACCCCUGAUUCUGCUGUCGUCCACCGCGACCUCUGUUGGCAUGAACACCAUGUCCCUGCCUCUGCUGACCCGACUGCCUCGAAGAUCUUGCACUAUUAGUAGCAAUCUCUCCCUGCUGGGGCUGUCCCCCUUGGUACCACUAAGAUCCUCUGGCUGAAUAUGUCUGAUAAGACAUAGAUCCUCCCUGAUACUGAAGGUACCCACUCUGAUACUGAGCAUCUUGGGAGUAUUGAUGUUGUCCUGAGGUGUAAGGAGCGGCGUCACCCUGAUAAUGAUAAGCACCUUCUCGCCCAGUCUGGGUAUAACCACCAGGUCCUUAAACUUGUUGGGCUGGUGCAGGUUUGGGAAUGAAGGCUGCUGGGGUCUUAACUGACUAUGAGGGCAUUGAGCAACCCUAUGACCCAUCUGACCACAAAUAAAACAUCCACUGCUGCCUCUCCUACACUCCCCAAAAUGCCUAAAAUUACACCUGCGGCAUAAGGGAGCACUAGAUCCACCUGAAACACCAAAAUCUCUCUGCCUCUGGAACCUAAGGCCUUCAGUAAAUCUACCACCUCUCAUCUGCAUAUUAGUACUCAAUCCUUCACUAGAAGAGCUAGAACUGCCACCGCUUCUCUUGAAAUUCUUAGUCUUGUGACGUCCCUGAAAUGCUUGCCUUUUGCCCUUAUCAUCUCGCCUCUGGUUCCCAUUCUUUCCUUCCUCAUCCUCACUUUCACUAGGCAUGUUCUUUGAGUCCUCAAUCUGCAGUAAAACCUCAAAAAACUCCUGGUAAGUGGCACAGUGAGUCGAUGUCGCUAUGGAACGCAAUUUCUUCUUAGAACCUAAUCUGAAGCGACGAAGCAUUUCAACCAGAUUAGCAGUAACUUCUGGAUCAUAUUGCGACAAAUUAGUAAACAUCCUGUAAUACUCAUUAGCUGACAUCUUUCCUUGCUUCAAAUGAGUGAAUUCUUGUUUCUUAUGAUCAAUAUACUCAGGAGGAAUGAACCUUUUUCGAAACAGCUCUUUAAAUACUCCCUAAUCCGUAGUUUCCGCUGGGGUCAACUGGUAAGACUCCUGUCUCCACCAGGAUGCAGGCUGCAGGCCGCUCUCCCAAAAACCAGGUAGUCGUCUCGACCCACCUAUAAGGAGGAAGAUUCCCUGACUCUGCAUCACUAGAAAGGUUUUCUCAAUAUGAUUAAGCCAUUUUUCCGCCCCCUCAUGACCUUUAUUUCCAAUGAAGUGAUUCAGUUUGAGGUUAUACACUAUCUCAAGAGGUGUCCUCUGGGGAGGAUGGAAUGCAUACUGAAUGGCAGAAACUAUAGCUUCCCUUAAUUGAGCAAUAUCGGGGAAACUAGGCUCAGCUGAGUGACGGGGCUCACUAUGAGGUGGCAUAGUUCUAACAUAAGACAUCACAAGGAUUAAAACAUUCAAGAAUUAUACAUGACUGCUAAACCUAGGCUUUGAUACCAAACUGACACACCCCGACUGAGAUUAAGACAUGCUGGCCGUCACGUGAAAGUGACGUAGCCAUGUGUACAGUGCGGAAGUAAUAAAGAUAAGAAAUAUACAAAUAAUUAAAAACUGAAUUACUAGAGUUCACUACUAAACAUGAAGUGAUAAAAUUUAGUUACAACUAUAAACACUCCUAAUCAGAACAUAAUAAGUCUAGGUGCAGUCUAGUAGGAUAAGUACUAGUUACACAGUACUAGGAAUGUCUUACUAUUAUUUAGGUAGGUCAAAACUGUCGACGCCCUCAAGCCACCAACAACAAGCUUACUGAUCGGAUCAUAUUUAUAUAUAUUUUUACUUCGAAUUCACUCGUCUUUUCUUAGUUAGUUUCUUUUAUUUUUGAGCUAUUUACGUUAUUUUUGUGUUUAUAGGAUUUGUUAUGCAAAGAAAAUAAAAAUAGAACAAGUGAAAUUUUAUGUAAUAAAUUCGUCAAACUGUCUGUGUAGAUCAGCUUUUAAAUUAAAUUAAAAAGAAAAUAUAAUAAUGAUAAAUCAUGAUGAUGUUUGAAACAUCAUCAUGAUGGUUUUGUUUUGUAGAAGAAAAGAAAGGGAAGAGGAUUGGGAGCUGCUGGGACAGCUAAGAAAAAGGAAAUAAAAAAAAUAAAGAAACGGAGAAGUGGGAGACAGCUACGGGGAGGGGAGAGACCACCAGAAACGGAAAGAAAAAUAUAAAAAGAAGGAGAAGGCAGGGCAGUGAGGGUCACGGGGGGGCUUUGCAGGAUAGAAGGAGGAAGCUGCGUUAGGCAGCGGGGGAAACAAAAAGCUUGGCAGCGAGGAAAUAGAAUAAGAAACAAAAGACAAGCUGCCAUUGGCAGCGUGAGAGACAGGAGACUGACACGGAAGGUCAAAGGGGGAGUCAGUGCGGAAAAGACAAGGGCCUUGCAGCGUGAAGAAAGCAGCAAAGCUACCUUGGGCAGUUUUAAUCAGAAGUCAGGCACGACAGGAAGCAAAGCUUCACUUCCUUCUCUCUCGGUUAAAUCUUUCCAAACUUCUAUUUUAUUUAUGUUUUAAUAAUGUGUAAUUAAAUUUAUUUUGGCUAGAGGUUAAUUCAAAGCCAUGAAUAUAUUUGUAAUAUGAAUUGAUUACCUUCGGUUGUGAUUUCAUAAGUUGUGAUUUCAAUUUACUUAUCCGUUCGUAUAAAAACUGAUUUGUGUAUGUUGGUUGAGAGUGCACGCUUAAUUUACAUGCAUGAUUUGAUGCUAGAAUAUAAGUGAAUUUCACCUAAUCGUUAUGAACUUAUUUUCACAAGUAGUAAAGGUUGCUAGUCACAAUCACGUUAAGUAAAUUCUUGGCAAGAGUAUCAUGCUUUUCAUAGUUACGAAUGCCUCGUCAAUGCUUAUAGUUUUCACAAAGUUUAAUGAUCUUUGAUUGUAUCUCUAUUGUGCUUUUCACGUAGGGGACUUUUGAAGAAUGUUUUGAAUUGUUGUAUGCGUUUUUCCGUCCAAUUCAAUAACUUAAGGAAAACUUGAAGAUUAAAAAAGUGCUGUUCACGGUUAAUCUGGAGUAUUGAGAUUCACAAUUUAUUGAAAGAACAACUAAAAAUCAAUUUAGGUUGCAUAUGUGUCAUGUGUGGAGAAGAACCCUCUAGCUAGUCCGUCAUUUAUCCUUUCACCUUAAUUUCAUGUUUUUGUCAAUUCUGUAAUUUAAUUAAGUUUAAUUUACUUUUCAUCAAAACCAAACACCCAUCCAUUAUUAAAUUAUAUUAUUUAUUUAGUUUUCUUUAUUGUUAGUCUUUUAAUUUAAUUUCCGUCCAUUUCAGUUCCUAGUGUUUAAUUUAAUUGUUUUCAUUAUUUUGAGUCAUUUUAAGUGUGUUUCGAGUUAUUAGAGUUUUUAGCCUAGUUUUGUGUCCUUGAGUCUUAUUUAAUAUUUUUAAAUUAAUUUAGAAUAGAUUAGCAAUCCCUCCUAAUCCCCGGCCUAGAACGAUACCCUACUUACAUCUAUACUACAACUGUCAAAAAGAGGGUUUAAUUUGUGUGUCAAGUAAUUCUCACAUCAAAUUUUGGCGCCGUUGCCGGGGAUUAGCAACUUUGCUAAUCCUUUUAUUUUUGUUUUUGUUUAUGUUUAUAUUGGUGUUUGUGUAUUUUACUUUUGAUAUUUGAUUUAUUUUUCUUUCUUUGAUUUUAGGUUCAAAUGGAGCCGAAAGAAAUUUAAAGGAAAGAUGCGUCCGGCUAAAGACGUUAAAUCAAGCGCUUCUUGGGAGGCAACCCAAGCAUUCAACGAAAGGGAGACUUUGGAAUCGCUAACCCAAUCAGCUUUGCAUUCUUCCACCCUUAUCUUUACUGCUUUCAUUUUGUUUUGUUUAGUUAGUUGUGUUAUUUGGUUGAUUUCUGUCAGUUUGUAUUAUUUAGUUUAAGUAUGGGGGAAGGUUAACCAAAGUCUCUUUACAUUAAUUUACAUAUAUAAAAAAAAAAAAAAAAAAAAAAAAAAAAAAAAAAAAGAUAAAAUUUAAAAUUAGUGAUAAAAAAAAAAAAAAAAAAAAUACAUAAAAAACAAAAAUAAAUAAAGAAAAAAAAAAUAAAAAAUAAAAAAAAAAAAUUCAAAAAUAAAAAAAAAUAAAAAAUAAAAAAUAAAAAAAAAUAAAAAAAAAAAAAAAAAAAGUACAAAUAUUUUACAAUGAUGUAAACUAAUAGUAUUCAUUGGUCGGGUGGUGCUUCAGUAGUCGGCGGGGCCACAGAAGGAGGAGGCGGCAUAGGUUGAUCAGUUGGAGCUUCACUACGCGGUGCCGCCCCAGAAGACGAAGGCAGAUGCGGUUGGAACAAACCCACAAACCUCCGAUGAUCAAGUAAAAUUUGACCAUCGGUGUCCUGCAUCUGGUCAAUCUUCCUCUUCAUGCUGGUGGCAUAGCUGUGUGCGAGCUUGUGCAAUUCCUUAUUCUCAUGCUUGAGCCCUUUAAUCUCUUGCUUGAGACUCUGUAUUUCAGCCACCAAGGAUUCAACGUGACGGGUUCUGGCAAAUAGGCGUUGGGCCAUGUUGGACACGGAACCGGCACACUGCACGCUAAGAGCCAGAGACUCCUUAACCGCCAAUUCAUCAGAUCGUCUAGCGAGCAGUCUGUUAUCUCUGGGGGUGACAAGGUUUCGGGCCACCACCGCAGCGGUCAUGUCAUUUUUCAUCACCGAAUCCCCAACGGUAAGAGGACCGGUAGGGGAUAUGAAAGAUGGGCGCCAUAUGUUGUCUGGUGAAGGCGGAGCUGCCUCUUCACCACGGUUCAAGUCAAAACGACGAUCGGAAGGGCCAGACAUUUUUCAGAGGUGGUGAAGAAAGAAGAGAGUCGGAAUGAUCAAGAUUAAACAAGUGCAAGAAGGGAGUGUUUACAGGAGGGUACUCAAGUGUGUUGUGGAACAAGCUUAACGUCUCUAUAAAAAGGAAGAAAUCAAAGAGGCGCUCCUCAGAGAAGCGUCCUCUCGCAAAUCGAAGAGUCGGGGCUCCGUUCUCAAACGUCUGAUUCUUUUCUCAAAAGAGGAGUUUCCUUUCUCAAAAGCCGGAUUCUUUUCUCAAAAGAGGCGUUUCAUUUCUUAAAGGCUGGGCUUGCUCAGAAACCACGAGCCGAACCCCGGAUUUCAAAAGAUCAAUUUGUCCAGACGUGUCGUCACUUGUCACACGCAAAUUGCUUUGCGGAAAUCUCGGGCAAUUUGUCGAAGCACCAAUUCAGAAAUCGAAGAGGGAAAUUCAACAGUCAAAGACACGCUAGCUUUCUCAAAAGCUGGGCUUCAACCCACGGGAAAAUCUUCUUUUCCAGAUUUAUCCGCACGUGUCACAUGCUACCUCUACAAUCGACGAUGCUCAGAGCUCGAAGCGCCGAUUACAGAUAUCAAUGAGGAAUCAGCUUUGCGGAAAUUACGGGCAGCUUUGUCAGAAAGCGCGUAAUUUGUAUUCUUCACCCAUCCACCGGCUGCCGACACUAAGUGAGAGAACAGUUCCGGUUGUGAAGACAAGUCCUAUAAGUUUCUACCUUCGCCUUCCACAGCAAAAGCACACUCUCUCAGCACACCCUCUCAACACUUCUUCAUCUCCGAAAAUGCAUUCCCAAUGAAUCCUCCUAAGUUACUCUGUGUUCCUCAUUCCUUGGGAUACUCCUGAAAACAACCCAUUCAAAGCAAAAGUAUUUCAUAUCAUGAAGGUUGAAAGCAAGAGUAUCUCAUAUCAUGCUUUCUCCAUGUCCUUCUCCUUGUCUUUGUUUUCCGACAAGGAGAAAGAGAGCAAUCAGCCAGCAUUUGGUAUCAAUCUUCCAAUCUGGAGCCAACUGCCUGGAACCCUUUCCUGAUUGCUUACCUAGCCUUGCUCUCGAGUACUCAUCUUCUUCAUCUUAUGCUUCCGUUUUGUCUACCACAUCUACUUGGGGGACAAGUAAGGGAGGUGAAAAUGAGACCUCGAAGCAUGUGGAGACAAUUCAGCUAGGGACAAGGAGAAAGAAAGCAAGAGGUGGGCACUUGGAAAGAUUGAAGAAAGAAAUAAGGACCAACACCUUUCCCUCGUGCCUGCCCGUUGUGCAGAAGAAACAAGCAGAGAAGAAUGCAGCUUGCACAAUCAUCCCAGCGGAAGGAGUCCGAACUGAGGAACUAGAGAAGCUGCCACAUCUGCUUGGAGAACAAAUAAGGAACUGCAACAUAACCAAAGAGCAAAGCUCCGCCGUACAAUAUCAUCAAAUAGUAAAAAGCUAAGUGUCACCCUGUUCAAGAGGAAAGCUGUGGAAAGUCAACAAGCACGACCAAUGAUUAUUUAUUAGUUUUAUUCAUUAUCUUUUAUCGUAAUUUUCAAUUUUUCGUUUGCAAUUUUUUUUAAUUAAUUUUCUUGCGUACUUAACUGAAUUUUUCCUUUUCUUUGCAGGAACUUUUGGUUAUUUCCACCCUUGAAGUUGAUUGCAGAAUUUUAGCUUGGGGGUCAUAGCUUGAUUUUACUGCAAAUUAGGGAAGUUUUCAGUCCAAUUGCGUUAUUUUGUUUCUUAUUAUUUAUUUAUUUUAUUUUAUUUAUUUUUGCAUUAUAGUGUUUUCUGACAUUGGGGACAAUGUCAAGUUUAAGUGUGGGGGUAGAAAUCUCCAGAAUUUCAUUUGUCUCUGUGUUGUUGUUUUUUUUUUUUGUGUUCUUAAUUAGUUUUUGUUUUCUUUAAAAAAAAAAAAAAAAAAAUUAAAAAAAAAUUUCGGAAAAUUUAAAAAUCCAAAAAUAUUGUCUUGUUUCCCUUAUUGUUUUGAAUUAGAUUUUUGUUAGUUUCCCGACCCAAUGAUAUAAUUAGAUCAAAUUUGAAUCACGAUUAUCAAGAACUUAGUUAACAUGUGUUUUAUGAAAUUCCUAAUUCUCUUGUUAGUUUUGUACAUGUUUGAUCAUCUUUGAAAAACCAAAUGCACAUAGCCUUGUUGAUGUGAAACUAAAGUAUGACUUAAAGCUUCAUAUGUGAAUUUAGUGACCAUAUACAUCCUAUGUGAGUUUUUGAGCCGAUUGAAAGUGUGUGCAUUUUUGCAUACACUCCUAUUCUUUCAUGUGUGAUGAACUUAUGUGAGAUACAUCUCUAGAACUUGCGUAACGAUCUUUCGAAAUGUUUGUCAUUGAUUGCAUGAACUUGGAAAUGAUAGAGGCAUUAGGUUUACCACCAUGGCCCAAAUAACCAUGUUUCCCAAAGAAAAAUGAUAUCAUUAGAUUGCCAAUUUGAGCCGUGUAUGUUGAGCCUUUUAUUUCUUAUCACCAGAUAUGUCUACCCUUAUACCUGAAACAUUUUUCCUUACCCUUUCCAAGCGAGCAAUGCGAAAUUGUCUUAUGAGAAACGUUUGUGAAGUACUUUGAAGGUGUUUGGCAAAAGAAUAAGUGUGGGGGUAUUUCAUGUUUGUAUAAAAAAAAAAAAAAAAAAAAGGGAAAAAAGAGAAGAAAAGAAAAAGAAAAGAGAAAGAUUGUAUAAAAAGAAAAUAAAAAGUUUUUAAAGUUUCAGUUUAAGGGUGUGAUUGGAGGUGCUAGAAGAAUUGCUGGAGAGCUUGAGUUCUUAUAAAUCUAAAGAAAAGAAUCGCUUGCAAUGUAGCUUGGAACUUGUGUUUUCCUAUUCUUUCGUUUCAAUAACCCUAUCCCUAAGCCUCAUUACAUCCAAUAAAAGUCCUCUUGAUUUAAGUUUUGCAAUUAUGAUUGUGGAGAUGAGAUCUUUAUGCAAGCUUAUGGUAGAAAUUUCACAUUUGAUUCUUUGAGCAAAACACAUUAAAACUAAACACAUGUGUGAUUCAGUGCAUAUCCCGUGAGAAGGUCGCUAGUUUGCAUAUGAUGAUUUUAAAAAUAAAAACUUGAAAUUGCAUUAGCAUGGCUAUCUCACACACUACACUUCAAGGAUGAUUUAAAGAUUACUGCUAAUAUUUGAAUAAGGAAGAUGAACUUGGAUUAGUUCCUUGAUGCUAGCUAUGGUUCUUGAUGAUUUGUUUUCUUGAAUGAAAUUCUAUGAGGGUCACAUAGAGGGAAGCUAAUGUUUUUCUUGUUACUUCUUGUUCUUAUUUUCUUUGUUUUGCUCGAGGACUAGCAAAAGUUAAGUGUGGGGGUAUUUGAUCGGAUCAUAUUUAUAUAUAUUUUUACUUCGAAUUCACUCGUCUUUUCUUAGUUAGUUUCUUUUAUUUUUGAGCUAUUUACGUUAUUUUUGUGUUUAUAGGAUUUGUUAUGCAAAGAAAAUAAAAAUAGAACAAGUGAAAUUUUAUGUAAUAAAUUCGUCAAACUGUCUGUGUAGAUCAGCUUUUAAAUUAAAUUAAAAAGAAAAUAUAAUAAUGAUAAAUCAUGAUGAUGUUUGAAACAUCAUCAUGAUGGUUUUGUUUUGUAGAAGAAAAGAAAGGGAAGAGGAUUGGGAGCUGCUGGGACAGCUAAGAAAAAGGAAAUAAAAAAAAUAAAGAAACGGAGAAGUGGGAGACAGCUACGGGGAGGGGAGAGACCACCAGAAACGGAAAGAAAAAUAUAAAAAGAAGGAGAAGGCAGGGCAGUGAGGGUCACGGGGGGGCUUUGCAGGAUAGAAGGAGGAAGCUGCGUUAGGCAGCGGGGGAAACAAAAAGCUUGGCAGCGAGGAAAUAGAAUAAGAAACAAAAGACAAGCUGCCAUUGGCAGCGUGAGAGACAGGAGACUGACACGGAAGGUCAAAGGGGGAGUCAGUGCGGAAAAGACAAGGGCCUUGCAGCGUGAAGAAAGCAGCAAAGCUACCUUGGGCAGUUUUAAUCAGAAGUCAGGCACGACAGGAAGCAAAGCUUCACUUCCUUCUCUCUCGGUUAAAUCUUUCCAAACUUCUAUUUUAUUUAUGUUUUAAUAAUGUGUAAUUAAAUUUAUUUUGGCUAGAGGUUAAUUCAAAGCCAUGAAUAUAUUUGUAAUAUGAAUUGAUUACCUUCGGUUGUGAUUUCAUAAGUUGUGAUUUCAAUUUACUUAUCCGUUCGUAUAAAAACUGAUUUGUGUAUGUUGGUUGAGAGUGCACGCUUAAUUUACAUGCAUGAAUUUGAUGCUAGAAUAUAAGUGAAUUUCACCUAAUCGUUAUGAACUUAUUUUCACAAGUAGUAAAGGUUGCUAGUCACAAUCACGUUAAGUAAAUUCUUGGCAAGAGUAUCAUGUUUUUCAUAGUUACGAAUGCCUCGUCAAUGCUUAUAGUUUUCACAAAGUUUAAUGAUCUUUGAUUGUAUCUCUAUUGUGCUUUUCACGUAGGGGACUUUUGAAGAAUGUUUUGAAUUGUUGUAUGCGUUUUUCCGUCCAAUUCAAUAACUUAAGGAAAACUUGAAGAUUAAAAAAGUGCUGUUCACGGUUAAUCUGGAGUAUUGAGAUUCACAAUUUAUUGAAAGAACAACUAAAAAUCAAUUUAGGUUGCAUAUGUGUCAUGUGUGGAGAAGAACCCUCUAGCUAGUCCGUCAUUUAUCCUUUCACCUUAAUUUCAUGUUUUUGUCAAUUCUGUAAUUUAAUUAAGUUUAAUUUACUUUUCAUCAAAACCAAACACCCAUCCAUUAUUAAAUUAUAUUAUUUAUUUAGUUUUCUUUAUUGUUAGUCUUUUAAUUUAAUUUCCGUCCAUUUCAGUUCCUAGUGUUUAAUUUAAUUGUUUUCAUUAUUUUGAGUCAUUUUAAGUGUGUUUCGAGUUAUUAGAGUUUUUAGCCUAGUUUUGUGUCCUUGAGUCUUAUUUAAUAUUUUUAAAUUAAUUUAGAAUAGAUUAGCAAUCCCUCCUAAUCCCCGGCCUAGAACGAUACCCUACUUACAUCUAUACUACAACUGUCAAAAAGAGGGUUUAAUUUGUGUGUCAAGUAAUUCUCACAUCACUUACUUAAAACCUGGAGGGGCACCAAAUAGAAAGUGUGAGUGGGCAAAAACAAAUGUUUUACAAAACCAUUUCAUUUAUCAACAUAACUAACCCCUCGCUGUAAAACAUGUAUAAUUUUUCCCAAAAUCAAGAUAUAAGCAUAUACAUAAUAUAUGAAAUCAUAUCAAUUCAAUUCAUGUAUCACAUAAUCAUAAUCAUAUAUAUAUGCCAUGCUAAGAUAUAACAGAGUAAGCAAUUCAGGUAAGGAUAAUUUCAUAGAAAUAUAACAUGUGAGCCACCUCUAUGGUAGUCUGUACGGCUGAAUUUGUUGAUGCACAAAAUCAAUGAGGAUUUUGGUACAACAUAAAGUGUUAAGUUUGUGACCUUCGCUAGAUUGCUCCGGUUACUAGUGUGGAUAAGUAUGUUAAUGGAUAGAGACAUGGAAGUAAACACAAGAUGUACGUGGUUCACCCAGAUUGGCUACGUCCACAGAGUAGAGGAGUUCUCAUUAAUUUGAAGGGUUUAUACAAGUACAUAGGUUCAAGCUCUCCUUUAGUGAGUAUAAGUGAAUGAUGUAGUACAAAUGACAUUAGGAAAUAUUGUGGGAGAAUGAUCUCCUUUUAUAGAAGAGAGUUUCUAGCUUUGUUUUGACAUUGACAUGUGUUGUGUUGUGAUUGGCUUCUGAUGUUGACACAUGUCGCACUAUGAUUGGCUUCUGAUGUCGACACGUGUCGCGCUAUGAUUGGCCUCCUAGUUGGAGGAAACUCUUCUGGGUCCUUAAUGGUAUAACGUUAACCGAUGCUCAGUAGUUUCGAGAUUGGUUAAGUAUGGUACAAAUAGUGCUCCCUUAAGUUCCCGAGUGAGGGAAUCUCCUCGGUUGGGGACUUGCAAGAUCUAAGCUGCUGAGUAAUCAUGAAACUUCUAAGUACCGAAGUGUGGUAUCGUUUUCACUUGCCUUAUCUGUCUCAUAGGUAGAUGUGGCAUCUUCUCUGGAAGUACUUUUCCUCCAUCCAAGGGUGGUAUCUUUAACCUGUGGAAAUGAACAAGGUAAUGUAUCAAUUUUACUUGAAGCUUACUUGUAGUUUUAGACUUGGUCAAGUGCGAUACAAACCAUGUAGUAGGAGUCCCCCAAGUCGUCGAGCUAGGAGAUCCACCAAAAGAGGUGACAGAUAAGGUAAGCAAUUAGAGCUCCCAGCAAUCAGUGCUAAAUCAGAAGUUUGAUUUCGAGUUCUGGCUGAUUGUUCUCAUUCUCCCUAUCUUGCAGGCAGCAUGAAGGAUAAAGAGAAGAAAAAGGAGAAGAGAUGAUAUGGGAUACUUUUGCUUUUGAAGAUGUAACUUUCCACAGGCUUAUUCUUGAACUGGGCUGGAGGGUUUUCUGGUUUCCUCCAAAGUUUAAGGCCGACUCAAGAAUUUGAGGGUCAAAACAAGUCCAUCAAAUCUAUAGUACGUUCGACCUUGAUGAUAUGGGAUACUUUUCUAUUGACAAAGUGGUGGAUGUAUCAGCACGUGUUUUGGUACGCUUAUCUCCACAUGCUUCCUUGUAUCAUUCUCACUUGCGCUAUCUGUUCCUCAGGCAGAUGUGGUAUCUUCUUUGGAAGCAUAAGAUGUUGAAGAUUAGUACUCGAGAUCAAUGUCAGGUAAGUAAUCAGGCAAGGGGUUCCAGGCAAUCAGUUUUUGACUGGAAGCUUGAUUCCAAGUGCUGACUGAUUGUUCUUUUUCUUCUUAUCUUGCAGGUAAGAACAGGGCCAAAGGAAAAGAUAGGGAAAAAGCAUGAUAUGGGAUACUCUUGAUUUUAACCCUAUUGAUAUGAGAUAAUCUUGCUCUGGUGUGGCUUUUUUGCAGAGGUAUUAUCAGGGGAAAAAGAAGCUAAGUAUUUGAGAGACUCUGCUGAGAGUGCCCUCUCGGAUGUGAAGAGAAGUUGAGCGUUUUUUUUAUUUGCAAGUCUGCCUGGCUGUGGAGGAUGAAGGUUGACAUAUAUAGAAAUUGUCCCAACUGCGAGUGGUAACGCUGUUCCUUUACCCUUCUCGGUCAUAGCAACGUAGUGGGAGCUGCAAGAUUCACGUGUUUUAACUUUGUUAGAGCACUUUGAAAAAGUGGUCUAUGGUAUCUGGAAAGCUGAUGUUGCAUGUGAAGAUUGCAGACAAGCUUUAUGCAAGGAAAUCUAGCUUUCGAAGUUCGGAGAGCGGUGCCUCUUCGGUUUUUGAACAAGCAAUCCUGUCAGGGAUCUAGCUCUCGAGAUUCGGAGAACAGUGCCUUUUCAAUUUUUGAGAAAGCAAUCCUGUUGGGAGUUUGGCUCUUGAGAUUCGGAAAGCGGUGCCUCUUCGAUUUUUGAGCAAGUAAUCCUGUUGGGAGUCUGGCUCUCGAGAUUCGAAGAGAUGUACCUCUUCGAUUUUUGAGCAAGUAAUCAUUUUGGGAGUCUGGCUCUCGAGAUUCAGAGGGCGAUGCCUAUUCGAUUUUUAAGCAAGUAAUCCUGUUGGGAGUCUGGCUCUCGAGAUUCAAAGAGCUAUGCCUCUUCGAUUUUUGAGCAACCAAUCAUGUUAAGAGUGUUUUCUAAAAUGUGAGUAAAGGUUGGGCAUUUUUGCCAGUCUGCCUUGCCACGGAGAACACGGAAAUUGCACACAUAGAGACUUUUCAGUUAGCCAGUAGUGGUGCUGUUCCUUUACCCUUGUGGGUAAUAGUAGGGUAGUUGGACCUUCAAAAUUUAUGUGUCUAAACUUUGUCAAAGAUCUUUGGCAAAGUUAUCUGUGGUACCCGAGAAGCUGAUGUUGCGUAUAGGGAUUGUCGACAUAUUUUACUCAGGAAAAUCUGCUUCUUGAAAUCCGAAGAGUGGUGCCUCUUUGAUUUUUGAACCAACGGCCUUGUUGCCCUUUCUUAUAUAGGGGCACUGAUGCGAAAUAUAUAAGCACACAAAUUAAACCCUCUUUUUAUCAAUUGUAGCAAAGUAUGUAAGUAAGGAUCGUUCUAGGCCGGGGAUUAGGAGGGAUUGCUAAAUCACUUGAAAACUGACUCAAAAACGUAAAAACAAAGUUUAAAACACUAAACUAGACUUAAAGAAUGCAAAACUAAACUCUAAAACACUAAAACAAACCAAAAGACUCAAAACAGCACAGAAACACUCAAAACUGCCUUAAAAACACAAUCUGGGCAGUUUUGAACACCAACACAAAUUUGGACGAAAAUAGGUUAUAACUUGACUCAAGACACUUAAAAACACAAACUAAAUUGAUUUCUAACUAAUCUAACACUUCAAAAUAAAUGGGGAUUUGAUUUUGACGAAAUUUAAAACAAAACAGAAACUUUGAAAACUAAACAGAUUUUAAAACGAAUUUGAUUAAAGUGAAUGGAUGGAAAGCUAGCUAAGGGGUUCUUCUCCACACAUGUCACACUUGCAUACGAAACGAUUUCCAAUUGCUUUUCAAUAGAUUAUGAAUUCUCAAUGCCCCAGAUUAACCGUGAAUUGCACUAAUUAACCCUCAGAUUUUCCUAAAGUUAUUGAAUUGGAUGAUUGCAUACAACAACCCAAAGCAUUCCCCACAAGUUCCCUACAUGAAUUGCAUAAUAGAGAUACAAGCAAGAAUCAUUAAGUUCUAUGAAAACCAUAAGCAUUGACGAGGCACUUGUUACUAUGAAUUGCAUGAAACUUAUGCCAAGAAUUUACUUAACACGAUUGUGAUCAACAACCUUUACUACUUGCAAAUAUAAGUUCAUAACGAUUAGGUGAAACUCCCUUGUAUCCUAGCAUUAGAUUUAUGCAUGAAAAUUAAGCGUGCACUCUCAACCAACACACACAAAUUAGUUUUAAUUCAUGUAGAUAAGCAAAUUGAAUUCACAACUUAUGAAACGCAAUUAGAAGUAAUCAAAUCAUAUAGCAAGCAUAAAACAAGGUUUCGAAUCCCCCCUUAGCCAAGGGGGGUUUAGUUCCUCAUACGCACAAAGCAAAGAUAAAUAAAUUUAAACAUUGAAAUCCAAAGAAAGAAAACACCUAGACGCUCCAACGAUCCAAUCUUGAACAGCAAGCACGUCCAAAGUUCUCCUUCUCCUUCCUUGCUGCGGCAUAAGAAUUGGGGACAGGUUUUGGGUGGUAUUUGUAUGGAGGAAUGGAUAUGGAAUGGUGUGGUAGUGGUUAGGAUUGAUGGUUGGUGCGGCAAGGGUGUUUAAGGGUAGGAAUUAUGGAGUAUGGUGGUGGAAAGCUGCGGCAAAGAGCAAAGGAUGAUUUCUGGCGUGAAUUGAUGUAUAUGGGAGGUGGUAAUUCGGCCAAGGGGUUAACAUGAGUAUAUAUAGGCACUUAAAAACCCUAGGGAAAUCAGAUAUGGACUUGAAUAACCCAAAUCCACAAGGAAAAAGGCUUAGAAAUCAGAAUUAAAAGGGGAAAAAGGCCAAUAGGUGCGGCAGGUUUGGAUAGGGUAAUAUAAGGCUUCCAGAAAGCCUUGCAAGGCAAGGAAAAGGGUUCUAGAAAGGGAUAGGUGCGGCAAGGAUUAAGGGAAAAGGAUAGGGCUUCUAGAAGCCCAAAACCAAGAGGAAAUAGGACCUAACCCACG
rnacentral:lncRNA from 1 species